rnacentral:lncRNA from 1 species
UGGGGCGUGCAUGGAGACCUUACUCCACUGUCGUCUUUGCUAACACUUACAUGACUGAUAUCGUUGCUCCUGAGGGCUGGAACGACUUUAACGACCCUUCAAGAGACCAGUUAAGUAGUUUCGUCAUCUCAUCUAAACGAUUAAACUAUCAAAAUAAUUUUUUUUACAACUCAACAUUGGAACUUAAUUUCCCAUUAAAGUGAGUUAUAGCUCAGUUCCUCUCUUUAGUCCAUCCCAUUAAUUGCCUGGAUAUAAAUCCCCUACCAAUGUAACAUUUCGUGCAAUAUACCACAGCUGCAACUUCACAUUUGAAAAACAAAUACUAAGCAAUACUCUCACCUAGGGCUGUACAUAACUUGGUAAAUACCGAAUUAUCGUAUUAAAAUUAAAAAUUUUGGUAUUUGGUAUUCGAUAUGGUUUGAUUCAACUUUUAAAAACAAUUGGUAUUAGGUAUGAUAUGUAAUUUUUCAAAAAUGAAAUAUCGAUACCGUACUGAAAUAGAUAAUAUAUUACACAAUACACAUAUUAUUAAUUAUAACAUAUAUAAAAAAUCUAAAAUUGUACUUUCCUUUAUUCUCUAAGUUCAUCAAUUGACUCAAACAAGUAACAAGACAUUUCUAAUAAUCAAAUUUAUUUUUUUAUGUAUAGUUUUCUCUCUCUGAGUUAAUAUUUGCUGGUUUUGGACAAAAAUUUUGUCAACAAUGUUUUUUGUUUUAUAUUUUUGAGUACUUUAAUUAAGAAUAUUACAGUCUAUGAAUCUACACACUAGUAAGUAUUCAAACCGAAUAAACCUAAGUUACCAAAACGAAUAAAUGGAAACUGAAAGGAGAAAAAUCGAACUAUAUCAGAAUUUAAUUAAGUACAGUAUUAAUAUAGCAUUUUAAGAAAUCGAAUACCAAAAUUAUUGAACCGAAAUAUCUAAAUAUCGUACCAUAUCGACCGAAGAACACCCUUAUAUCCUUGCGUAUAGUUUCUCAUGAGCAACCAAUCUAAGGAUGAAUAUCCACUUAUUAGGCGCACCAUAAGAAAUUCAAAAUGCACCACAAAAUAAAUUUUAGCUAGGCCGUUGCUCAAAACAGAUAACAUUUACUUUUGGUCAUGAUGACUAAGAAGAUUAUCACAGAACGUCGGCACUAAAAACCUUAUUUUAUAUAGUGCUUAUCAUAAUGAAAAUUAUUUGUUUUCAACUUAACAUUAUCAUUCGACUUAUAUUAUUGGUUGUAAAGUUUAACUUAUUAGAAUAAUUCAUACAGGACAAUCUUUUAUGUGGAGUACAACUGUUCAGGAGCAGGAUCCAGUAUGACAUUGAGGGCACCAUAUGUUCAAAGACUAAAUGAUACACAAAUUCUUCCCUUCCUCAACUCGUCUUUCAUUGAUGCUAAUUUGUGGCUCCAAUCUUUUACCUCUUAGCAUCCUUCGUAGAGGAGAAAUUAAGAUUUGAAGUUUAUAUAUUCGGGUUUUCAGUCGGUUUAUAAAGUUAUUGGAUUCUAAAUUUAUAAUUUAUAUAUAUUCAAUAAAUUUUUUAAUACAAAUAUAAAGUUUAAAUCAAAAUUACUGGAUUUGACCGAGUCUACCGUCCGCCUCUGUGGCGUGUGCACAUAUACAGACUAUAUUUCCGAAUUAGACGAGAUUAUUGUACUUUUUAUUAUGGGUUUAUCUUUUAUCCAUUGACAGUACCGUAGAUGAAGUUAAUUGCAUAAUCAGUACUGUUUAACAAUAAAAGAUUCUUAUUUUCAUAUUUAAUGGAUACAGUAUCAAUGUGUAGAAAUUAAAUCCGUUAUUAUUAUUAUUAUUAUUAUUAUUAUUAUUAUUAUUAUUAUUAUUAUUAUUAUUAUUGUUGUUGUUGUUGUUGUUGUUGUUGUUGUUGUUAUGAUUGUUACUGUUAUUGUUAUUGUUAUUGUUAUUGUCACACUUCCUUUUUUACACAUCUGAGGUGAUAUAAAAGAGUUUUUCCACUUUAAGUGAUAUUAUUCGAAAUGAGAUUAUUUAUUCAUUUUUAUUCAGAGUCUCCACUUGGAAUAUUUUAAUUGGUGUCCUAAGUCACCGGUUUAUUUUAAAUCCCAAAUCGAGGAAAUUUUGAUUUCCUUUUGAAGUCUACGAACACAGAAAUUCUGUUAACCCUGGAGAAGGUGUUAGGCAUUCCCGGAUUCCGUGGUUCUAGCACAAUAGCUUAAACUAUUGCAAUUGGCCUAUUAUGUAAUUUUAAUAAAUGUUUUAGUCUAUGACAUAUUUUAACUUAUUAAACGCUUAAUUUAGGAAGCUUCAAUGUUAUCUAAAACAUAUCUUGAUUCACGUCACAUGAAAUGCACCGUGAUUCAUAACAUAUUUUAUUUAACAUUGUUAAGAAUUUGAAAUUGCGUCACAUAAAAUACACACUCAAAUUUAAAAAAUUAAUUUUAAAAUAAUGUGCCUAAAAUAACUAGCGCAUAAAUAGAGAUUUGAGAUUAAAAAGUGUUAGUCAUGAAUAAUGAAAAUUUGCUGUAAAAAUGGUGGCUUAGAUCGUUAAACUAUUAGGCCAAAAUAUGGAGGUAAUUGGCGUCAAUGCACCAACAAGCCGUGGAACCAAUCCAUAAAGAGAAAAAAUGUGAACACAAAUAUUAGAUCAAACCUCCACCACAUCAGCAGAAGAGUAAAUGCGUUCGAGAAGCUGGCAUGUGAAGAAAUUUUUUCAAGACAUUACAAUCCAUGUCACGUUGGGUGCACACAAACCAAAGGCCUCAUAAAUUUGUUCUGCUUUUCAAGUUCUCUUUUCCAACAUGUUAUUUUACAGAUCACAGCCAAUAAAAUGGAAAUUAAUUCCUCUAAAUCAUUAUCACAGACCUAAAGCAACUUAAACAGAUUAUGUAUCAUACUACUAAUAUUUUUAACAUGUAACUUUGAGAUAAAACGAGAUGAUUACGUGAGUAAGUUAUUGGAUAGGGAAGCUCGCCAACUGAAUAAAACAAAUUGUACGAAAAAUACUUUAUUCACAUAAAUUUCACGAAGAAACAGAAGCAUGCAAUCAUAAAUAUAGAAUUACACCAAAGUGAAAGAAAAUAACCUCAAAAUGAACCUUCACACAAGUGGGAUGAGCUACUGUUGACCGGACCAGCAAUCGGAAGCCUCGAACGGAACAUGACUUCGACCGGAAAACUUCUAACUCAAACGGACCUUUAAAACUUGAAUCUCGGCUGCUUUUUAACAGUGAUGGAAGCUAGCUGUUGGGUUCGUGUUCUCGGUUGGUUUACAAGUAGUUUGAGGUCGGUUUUUGGAGGAAGAAUACAAGCACCAACUGCUGCGCUUUUGCCACAUGAAGCUGCUGCAUUUUUAUUGCUUUUUGGACGGUUCGAAGCUAGGUUGGUGGUAUACUUCAGCUGGAUUUCUGGGAUGGUUUUUGGUUUGUUUUUGGCAUGUAUUUUAGGGAGGAAGAAAGGGUUGUUUUGCUGGUGGAUUUUGGUGACGAAAAUGGUAUUUUCAGCUCAUUUCCACGGUUGGAUAUGGAGCUUCUGGAGUAGUUUCUGGGUUUAGUUCCUAACUUUCAUGGCUUUUCAUUGUGAUUUUCAGGUUGAAGAUCUCAUGGAAGAAGAAGAAGAAGUUGGGGCUAUUUUUUAUUGUUCUCCCUCUGCUCAGCUCUCCUCUGAUCUCUGUUACUCCUCUCUGUUUUUGUUUUUCUGUAUAUCUGAUCCCCUUCCUUUUAUUUUGUCCUCUGUGUGUGUAUUUGUAUCAAAAACCUUGGGGAGAAAGAAAACCCCAAUAAAUAAUUCAUGUGGGGCCCCCGCUCAAUUUAAGAUGUGGGAUCCCACUAAGGAAAAUCAGAAAAUUAAAUUAAGAAGCAAUAAAAUAUAUGUGGCCACGUGAGGGGAUUUACAUAUCUACCUUCUUUCCUUUCUUCUUUGAUUUUCUCUUUUUUUUUUUGGGUACGUUUCUUUUUUUUUUUUUUUUAAUUAAAGGUUAUAUUAAUCACCAAAGAGAUUUCAGUACAAAACCAUAGUGCAGUCACAACAUAGUUGACUAUCAUAUCUAGACUGUCUAUCGACUAUCGCUAUACCUAUCCCUCUAUUUAUAGAAGAUAUUCCUGAAAUUGUAGCCUAAUUUUGGGGGUUCCUCUAAUAUUACAAGUAUAUGCAAUGGUCCUAAUUAGCUUAUCGCUGCUACAGAAGACAUUCUCAAAGAUCCUCGCAUUUCUCUCCAACCACAGGGCAUAGAACAAUUCUGCUACAACCAUUUUGAAUAUGUGAGCCCGACUCGAUUUCCCUUUGGCUUUAUCAACAAUCCAUUGAACAAACUGUUCCCAAUUCAGUAGACAUAGAACAAUUCUGCUACCACCAUUUUUAAUAUAUGAGCCCGACUCGAUUUCCCUUUGGCUUUAUCAACAAUCCAUUGAACAAACUGUCCCCAAUUCAGCAGCCUGGGAUGAAACUCUCUAAUCCAAGAUAGUGUCUGGUCCCUUAGUUGAGUAGCAAAGGAGCAGCUAUGGAAGAGGUGAUCUCUGUUUUCCGGAGCUUGCUGGCAUAGAAUACAGAUGCUAUCCACAUUCAUACCCCAAUGUAGCAACCUAUCCUUAGUUGGUAAUCUAUCUUGAAGUACCAGCCACAGAUUGAAAACAAUCUUAGGCCUAGCAUAGUUUUGAACAGUUAGAUUCUUCCAUGUAACUUUAGGGAGUUGGCCAAUAUGAAGCAGAUAGAGUAGCCUAAUGGAGCAUACUGGCCUGUGCAAACUCUAAUGUUGCUGCAGCAGUCCAUUUGCUGCAAUUAUCUUUCGGACCAUCUAACAAGUAGCAUAAUGGAGCAUACUGGCCUGUGCAAACUCUGAUGUUGCUGCAGCAGUCCAUUUGCUGCAAUUAUCUUUCGGACCAUCCAACUAGCUUGCUUGGGUAUAGACAUGCUCUUCAGUUGCUGCUGCUUUAUAUACAGAGUGUGAAUCCAUCUGACCCACAGAGUAUCUUUCUUGUGAGCCAGAUCCCAGCAUAGCUUAGCAAUAGCUGCUUUAUUCCACAGUAGUAGAUUUGUGAUGUUCAGGCCACAUGCUGAUUUUGGCACACACAUUUCGUCCCAAGCAAUGUAGGCCUUCUUAGUUAUACCUACUGAACCAGACCACAUAAAGCUUCUACAAACUGCUUCAAUAAGCUUUAGAAUUUUUGAGGGUAGGAGAAAGAGUUGUGCCCAGUAAGCUUGUAUACCAAUGACCACUGAUUGUACCAAUUGGAGUCUUCCAGCAUAUGGUAAUUGACUGGCAGUCCAUGAUGUGAUCCUAGCAGUGAUCCUAUCUACUAGAGGCUGCCACUGAAUCUAAGCCAUCUUCUUGGUGGAUAAGGGGAUGCCCAAAUAUUUGAAAGGCAAAUCUCUAUAUACAAAGCCUAGAUGGUCAGUAAUUUGUUGCUGGACUUUAGUGCUAACCCCUCCAAAGUAAACUGAACUUUUGGUCAAAUUAGCUUUUAGUCCAGAUGCUUCAGUGAAUUGAGAGAAGUACUUGAACAUGGUAAUUACAGAUUCCAUUUCACCUUUAGCAAACAGAAGUAGGUCAUCAGCAAAACUGAUAUGAGUGAUGCCCAGUCUNNNNNNNNNNNNNNNNNNNNNNNNNNNNNNNNNNNNNNNNNNNNNNNNNNNNNNNNNNNNNNNNNNNNNNNNNNACCUGGAUGGAAUACAAAAUCUUGGUCUUUCUUCAGUUCAGCCUGAGAUCUACUUAAGUACUCCAUUACUAUAGCAAAUAGAAAUGGGGAGACUGGAUCACCUUGUCUAAGGCCUUUAGCAGUUUUAAAUGGUUCAGUUGUUUCCCCAUUAAUUAUCACUUUAUAGCUGACUGUUUGGACACAUUCCAUAAUCCAGCUUUUGAAUCUGACUGGAAACCCCAUUGCAUCCAUUACCUGUUAUAAGAAAAUCCAUUCAACAGAAUCAUAUGCCUUCUGCAGGUCAAUUUUGAUCAUGCAUCUAGGAGUUACAUGAGUUCUGGAAUAAUUUUUGAUCAAUUCAUGGGCCAGUAUAACAUUGUCAAGAAGCAGCUUUGUGCUAUUUUCCUCAUUUCUUCUGAGAUUCGUAACUUGGUGAAGGUUUUUUUUUCCGGUUGCAUUUAUCUUUCUAUGUUAUGUCUGUCAAAAUUUAAUUUUGAUUUUCAGAGAGUUUUAAGAAACUGUUUUACUUGAACUUAUUUUUUAUAGGCAAUAUUUUAUAUAAAAUGCUAAAUUUUAUAUAAAAUGCUAAAAUGAAUAAGAUGAUAAUAUAUCUUGUGAUGGGUCAGUAUGUUAUUGCCUAAUUAUUAUAAUUUAUGGAUGCCCAGAAUGUGUUCGAGUUAUUACAUGUCGGUGUCUCAAAUCUAUUUUUGUUGCGGCAAUUUUCGUAAUGGUUAGAAUGCUGAUUUUCGCCAUAAUCAUAUACCAUGUUGCCCUUUGAAAUAUAUUUUUUUGUCGAUUGCAUAAACCACUAAGGUUUUUUUUAAGAUCCAUUAAUGUUGUUCAAUAAGAUCAUUAGUUACCAUCGCGUUUUCUUCUUUAAUAUAUGAUGUGGACCUUCGUUCUUCCUCUAUUUAAUACUGGAUUUUUGGGUUCACUUAGUGGUAGUGAGCCUCAAUUUUUGGGGAGGGCUUCUAAUAUUGGAGCAUUUGUAAAAUGCGGAGAGAAGUCAGGGUACAUCAAGAUUUCCUUGAGAGGGAAAACCAAAUAGGAACAAAUAGAUAUAUAGAACAAAUCUGAUUGGGGUUUUAAUAGAAAAGCUGUGCCAAAGAAGAACAUAACUAAUAUAAUUCAAAGGUUAAGUAUCUAAGUUAACAAUUUAACUCAAGUGAGUUCUUUGUCAGCUUCUUUUGAAUGUUAAACAUAGAAGACACAUAUGCUAUGUUGCUAAAAUGUUAUUGGAACCUACAUACCCCCCUCUCCCCAAAUUCACCCCCCAAAAGAUGUAAAUAUGAAAACACACUAGCAGGAUCUCUAAAAUCAAGUGUGAAAUACAUUAACUGGACCAUUUUUGCUCAACUCCCAUUAUUGAAAAUUGUUUGCUUGCAUGAUGGGAAUAUUUUUCUUUAUUCGUAAAGGAUAAAUUUAUUAAUUACCAGCAUUAAGUGAAUGUUGGUAUGUGUGUACAGUAUAGCAUCAUUUUAGGUUGAAUGUGCUUAAUCAAUCAUGGCUUCUACAUCAUGCAUAAUGCGAAUGUUUUUAAAAUAAUGUUUGUGGUUUUUGGCUUUCUAAUGCAACAUUCAAGAUGUAAAUAAUGAAGACAACACGUUUGAGUUCAUCAGCUCACUAUGGAUUAUAGUUUCUUUUGUUUACAGAUGGGAUCCCUUUUUUUUGUUUUGUUUUGGGGAUCCAAGAACUUGUAACUCAUAAGCAUUAUCACAGUGCGUGGAUGUUGUCAUUUAUAAAAUUACUACUUACCAAUCUCAGGAUUACCACUUACCAGUUGGAUUACUACCAACUCUUGAAUUAAUUUUUCUCACAUAAUGAUUUUAACUAAAUAUGUUAUAAUGUACUAAGUGAAUUUCUUUUCUAAAUACUAUGAAUUUUCUCUUAUAACAUGUGCAGUGCUAAUGUGCAUGUAAUCCUUAAAUAGAAAGGUAUGCCUCAUGUGGAAGGCAACUUAUUGAUGAUGAUCAAGUGAUGCAAGAAGAGAUCCCGAAUAAUGUGGUGCAACCUGAUGAUGAAGUUUGUAAUGAAAUUGAUGAUAUUGUGGAAAAGACUCACGAGGAGGUAAACCCCUCUAGGGAGCAUAUUAUUGACAUACCAGAGCUGGUAGUGCAAAAGGCUGCACACUAUUGCCUAAGUCUCCACCUCCAAACCCUCAAAGACUUGUCAAUCAAAAAGGUGAAAAUCAAUUCAAGAAGUUUAUUCAAAUGAUGAAGAGUCUCUUAAUCAGAAUUGAAGUUUAUUCAAAUGAUGAAGAGUCUCUUAAUCAAUGUGCCAUUAGUUGAAGCUUUAGAACAAAUUUCCGGUUAUGCAAAGUUUAUAAAUGAUCUUGUGACAAAGAAGUAGUCAAUAAACUUUGAUACCUUCAAGGUCAAUCAUCAAGUGAGUGGAAUUAUGCAUUCAAUAGCUCCUAACUUGCAGGAUCCCGGUACUUUCACGAUUCCUUGUACCAUUGAAAAUGUCGAGUUUGCUAAAGCUUUAUGUGAUCUUGAGGCAAGUGUCAAUUUGAUGCUCUAUUUGGUUUUCAUGACUUAUAAAAGUUGGGCAGCUAAGAUCCACCUCUAUGAUAUUGCAAAUGGCCAACCGUACCAUAAAGAGGUCCUUGGGAGUGAUUGAAGAUGUUUUGGUUCAUGUACAUUCAUUCUUCCGGCGAAUUUUUCCAUUCUAGAAUGUGAGGUUGAUUAUGAAGUACCGAUUAUUCUUGGAAAACGUUUCGUUGAUACGGGUAAUGAUCUUUGUGAUGUUGAAGCCAGAGAACUCACUUUCUAGGUUGGUAAAGAAAAAGUAGUAUUCGAUGUGUGUAAGUCCAUGCAACAACCAAAUAGCAAUGGGGUGUGUUCUUUUGUGGACUUAGUGACCGAUGUUAUUAUUGAUGAAACAAGUGCUACACAAUGUUGGUGAUAUGUUGGAGGCCGUCUUACUCAACCUUAAUGAUGAUGAGAUGGAUGACUUCAUGGAAUGUGUAUCAUUGCAAGGAAAUGGGUCGUACAACGAUGCACCCUAAAAAUUUUCCUUGGAUCUUUAAAAUAGGACAACUCCUUCGGCAAAGACUUUUAUUGAAGAGCCUCCCGUGUUAGAUUUGAAGCCACUGCCUCCAUAUUUUCGGUGUGAAUUUAUUGGUCCUUGUUCUAUUUUACCAGUUAGUCUUUCCUCUUAUUUGACUAACAUACAGGUAAAUUCCACAUGCCGGUGCUACAAAAGAGGAAGAAGGCGAUUAGGUAGACCUUGGCAGAUAUUCGAGAAAUAAGCCCUGAUUUUUGCAUGCAUAAGAUCAAGUUGGAGGAUAUUGCCAAACAAUAUAUUGAACAUCAAAAGAGACUCAAUUAGGCUAUGCAAUAUGUUUUCAAGAAUGAGAUUAUAAAGUGGUUAUAUGUGUCCCAAAGAAAGGGACCGAAUUGAGGGUGUGUAUGGAUUAUCACAAGCUCAAAAAAGUCACAAGGAAAGAUUACUUUUCACUUUCUUUCGUAGAUAAAAUGCUGGAUAGAUUGGCCAAUCGUGCUUUGUAUUGCUUUCUUGAUGGGUUCUCAGGCUACAACCAAAUUCACGGACAUGGUGGAUGACUACCUUGAAGUUUUCAUGGAUGACUUCUUGAUGGUUGGAGACUCUUUUGAUAAUUGUCUUGCAAAUUAUUAAAGUUUUUGCUAGACGUGAAAAAACAAAUUUGGUGCUAAAUUGGGAGCAAUGCUAUUCCAUGGUCGAGAAAAGUAUUGAAGUUGACAAGGCAAAGAUUGAGAUGAUUUCUAAUCUUCCACCUCCAACUUCAGUGAAAGGUGUGCAGAGUUUCUUAGGGCACACUGGUUUCUACUGGCGCUUCAUCAAAGACUUCUCUAAGGUGGUGAACCCGCUGUGCAAGCUUCUUGAGAAAGAUGCUAAGUUCAACUUCAAUGAUGAUUGCACGUGAUCUUUUGAAUUGCUGAAGCUCAAGUUGACAACUACUUCCAUCAUCAUUGCUCCGAAAUGGAGUGUCCAUUUUGAGCUCAUGUGUGAUGCAAGUGAUGUAGCCGUUGGGGCUAUUUUUGGGAAAAGCAUCAAUUUAAAUUUCAUUCGGACUACUAUGCUAGUAAGACCAAGAAUACUGCUCAAGUCAACUAUACUAUUACAUAGAAAGAGCUCCUUGCUAUUGUGUUUGCAAUUGAGAAAUUCUGCCCGUACUUUAUGGGUUCAAAAGUCAUUGUCCACACGGAUCAUCCGGCGCAUCUGUACCUUAUGACAAAAAAAGACUCCGAAGCUCAGUUGAUAAGAUGUGUGCUCUUGUUGCAAGAAUUUAAUAUUGACAUCCAAGAUAGGAAAGGUAGUGAAAACCAAGUGGCGGACUACUUAUCUCGUUUGGAGGAGAGGGGGAGGCUGCAUGAUGGCCUUGAAAUCAAUGAAUCCUUCCUCGAUUAGCAACUCUUGGAUAUUUCAGUGAAAGAGGUGUCAUGGUUCACAAAUCUAGCAAAUUUUCUUGUGUGUGGAAUCAUUCUGGAUGAGUUCUCUUCAAGCCAAAGGAAGAAGCUCUAACGCAUUUUCAAGAUUAUUAUUGAGAUGAACCAUACCUUUUUCGAAUUUGUACGAAUGGGGUAAUUAGAAGAUGUGUACCGAAGAAGAGCAAGGUAAAAUUCUUAGGGCUUUCCAUUCUUCACCAUAUGGUGAUCAUCAUGGUAGAGCAAGAACGGAGGACAAAGUGCUUAGUUGCGGUUAUUAUUGGCCUACUAUUUACAAAGAUGCUAGUGAGUUAGUUAAAAGAUGGGAUGAAUGUUAGGGGGCAGUGGAAUCUCAAAGAACAAUGAAAUGCCUCUCAUAACCAUUUCAGAAAUUGAUAUAUUCGAUGUGUUGGGUAUUGACUUCAUGGGCCUGUCAAGACCCAAAAUUCAACUAGUCGUGAUGGCACCUAACUUCACCCGUUAGGUAAGCCAAAUAAAUUUUACAAGAUAUUCAACCGACUCUAAUACACUCUUAGGAACUGGUAAUACAAAUCAUGAGCUUCUAAGAUAAGACUUUAUAAAGUUGGUGCGAAAAAAAAAAGAUACAUUAUCUGUUUGAAAUGUACAUAAACAGAUUUAGAAAUUCUAAAUAUUCCAAGAACAAGAGGCAAGUGUGACUGUGUCACAAGUAUAUCUUCAAUGCUAGCUCCUACCAUGCAUAGUAACACCUGCAUCCAAAAUCUGCACUCAUGGUCUAGAAAAAUAGUAUGAGUACAACUCACCCAAUGUACUCAAUUAGUAACAAACGUAAACUUAGGAUUAAACUAAUGACAAGUUUCUACCAAGGUGAGAGUCCAGACAAUUAACAAAUAACAGUUUAUAAAAAUAUAAUGAAAGUGCCACCAGUACUAACUCAUCAAUGAAAUAAUCAGCUCGCAUACAAUUCUAGAAGAAUAAAACAUUUUCUUUUCAAGUAUAAUAGUAAAACUCAAGUCUUUUGCCGAAAACACCAAAAAUAUGAUUAAGUCUGAAAUAUGUGAUUUUUAUAAAAAAAUUUAACAAGUAAGAAAUUUUAUUAUCAGAUGGCAUGAGGAAAAAUACUUUUCUAUGCCUACAUAUCAAGUAUGCAUGUCUAAUUCAACGUAGCACAUUGAUGAACUCAUAUACUUACACUCUCAGAGUAUCCAUUCUCACUAUCUCGCAUUUCCACUCAUCACGCUUAAUAUUCAGAACACUCUGUCACUCGCCACUAUACAGGGCAGAUCCAGUCCAAGUAUAAAUAAAAUAUGAAUCAAUAAGGCAACUCCAUGCCCUGAAAAGAUCCUUCUCAAAUAUAACUAUCAAUUGUUCUCACUGUGUAGGGUACAAACUUCGAAGGAGCUCCUUCAACCCAAGCGCUCUAAUCCGCACGGACAACUCACGUGCUAAGUAUCAAUUUCUAGAUCUGCAUGGACAACUCAUGUGUUGCACAGGCAACUCAUGUGUUGCACGGACACCUCACGUGCUACACGGACAACUCACGUGCUAUAGUAUCAAUAUCCAGAUCUACACGGACAACUCACAUGCUGCACGGCUGACUCGACAUGCUAUAAUAUCAAUAUCCUUACAAUCAGGACCUCGACCUCACUCAGUCAUCAAUAUCUCAAGUUUCUCGUGCUCAAAAUGUCAUGAAAAUAAGGCCAAAAUGAUAAUAUGAUGUAUCAAUAAAUAGCAACAGAGACUGAGUUAUGAUAUUAAAUAAAUGAUUAUAACUCAGUAUGAAACUAUGAUUUAAACAAAUAAUUCAAAGGCAUCGUGAUUUUUGGGGGUCUCAAUAAUAUAGGCAUAUAGCCUCAACAUGAUUUUUAACAUGAUUCUCAGCUCAAUUUCUUUAACACAUGAAAGUACAUGGAUAAUACCUCGAUUAUUUGACUACGCAAUUCCAUGAAAUCAAUUACGUCACAAUUUCUACAGUGCACACCAACACGCCUGUCCCCUAGAAUGCGUGUCACCUCCUAACAAAUCAUUUAACACCUAUUUUCUGGGUUUAUACCCUUAACUCAAAGUUUAAAAUGUUCCUUACCUCAACAAUCCGAAUCCAAUGUAGAAAGCUAAACAAUAUUUCGAAAAUCUAUUAUGCGCUUAUCCACCUCCAAACGUCUUACUAUCUCCUCAAUUCAAUCCAAACGAUCCAUAUCUAUUAAAAACAUGCAAAUUAAUCACAAUGUACUUCAAUGCUUACAGUUUAACAAUUUAUAAAAAAAUUCAACUCCUCUCGAAAAGUGGACAAUGGAGCCCACGUCUCAAAACCCGACGAAACUCACAAAAUUCGACAACCCAUUUAAUUAUGAGUACAAGCAUACUAAUUGCAUUCAAAUCUGACUCCGGAUCGAUAUUCAAAUUUCGAAAAUUCAUUUUUAGAAUUAUUGAAAAUUCCUCAGAUUUCUCUUGAAAAAUCAAUAAUCUAACACUGAAAACAAAGAUUAAUUCAUGAAUAUAAUCACAAAGGAGAAUACUUACCCUAAGUAGUGUGGUGAAAUGUGCCUCUGGAAAUCGCCCAAAUCGAGCUCCCCAACUCUAUGUUGACAAAAAUGGCGUAACCCUUGUUUAUAGGGAUUUUAUGCUUGUUGCACCACAGGUGACAUGGCGCUCUGCCAGUGGUGCCAUUUCUAGAAGUCUCAAAAUCCCAGCACCCAGGCUAGAGCCCACGCUACUCUAGAUGCAGGCAAUGGGAAAUCUUUACCUACACGAAAAUGAGAAUAACUCUCUCAUACGAUGUCUGAAUUCGAUGAUUCUUUUUUAUAUGGCUCCGUAAUUUUAAUAGGGAUCUAAUGCUUCCAUCAAAAUUGAACUUGGAGCUUAUUUUCUUAGAGUUAUACCAUUUAUGUUUAAAGAAACAACUUCAUACAUUCUAGAAAUAUCCAAAUUCUAUAUUUGAAACCUCUCAAAUCAAGUUUGAUUGACAUCAACUUUGGCAUAAAAGUCGUAAAUAACAUAACGGACCUAUGAAAAUUUCCAAAACUUGAUUCCGACCAUGAUAUCAACAAAAGAAACUCCUAGUCAAACGUCUAAAUCUUCCAUUUCUAACAUUUGCCAUUUCAAGCCAAAAUCAAUCACAGACUGCUAAAUAAAUAUCCGGACGCACUCCAAAGUCCAAAUUUUACGGAGCAAUUGAAACUAUCAUAACUCUAUUCCGAAUUCGUUUGCACAAAUGUCAAACUCCAGGAAACUCUCUUCAUUUAAGCUUCCAACAUGAAAUUCAUUCUUCCGAGCUAAUCUCGUAACACCUGAAAACCAAAGGCGACAGUACACAAUGGUCAUAAUGUAUUAUAUGAAGAUACUCAAGACAUCAAAUAGUUGAACGGAAUAUAAAUGCUCAAAAUGACAAGUUGGGUUGUUACAUUCUCCCAUACUUAAACAAACGUUCAUCCUUGAAUGUUCCAAUAGUUUGUUUAAAACUUCAAACCACUAUUUCACCUUAUUACACACAUACCUCGGGAUAAUCCCACGUCACCCUGCACCAGAUAGGCCUGACAACACUACAUAACUGAAAAUCACUAAUUUAGCCUUAGCCCAUAAACCUUGGAACCUAGUUUUCAACAUUCGAAAAUUUCUUUCAAGACCCGAAUCCCACAUCUAAACAUUGUAUGAGUCUUAACAAGCUAUAGUAAUCCUUAACAAUAACUCCAAAUGUAAUCACAUAACAUACUACACAACUCACAGCAUUAUUCCUGAUCAUAGUAAUUACUCAAACCAUUUACCAAGUACUAGUAUUAAACCUCAUAUUCAACAAAUACCAUAGCCAAUUAUCUAAGCCGAGUUCUCUAAUUAUCUUUCCACAAACGCCACAAUAAAACCCAAAAGUAUCCAUUCUAGGCUAAUGACCUCCUAUUAUCAAGCACAGCUAAUCCACAGACACGUCACACCAAUAUAACUUAAGCCACAACUACACAAUCCAUGUACCAAAAAAUGGAAAAUACCUAAAAAAAGAGAACUGCUUUACUAGUUCAACAAGAGCCACCACAACCGCAAUGCUUUGAUGUAAUGACCUGGCUAUUUAUUUUGAGAGUAUUAGCCCCGAUUAUCUAUUUACAGCUUCUUCUAUCUCAUUUUAUGCAUACGUAACUUUCCGGAACGAUUUGUUUUUGGUUUCAGAAAUUUAACCGUAGCUCGAAUUGUGUGAAGACGAUUUCGGAAUUGAGUUUUGAUGGAUCUACUAGUUCCUUUGGGUAAUUUUGGAUUUAGAAGCAUGUCAAGAUUGUAAUUUAGAGGUUCGUACUUGAAUAAUUCUUGAAAUGCAAAAGUUUAAUUUUUGGGAAGUUUGAUUAGGAGUGAAAUUUUUUAUAUCAAGUUCGAAUUUUAAUUCUGGAAGUUUGAAUCAGUUCGUAAAACAAAUAUGACUUGUGUGAAAAAUCUAAAGUCAAUAAGACGUGUUUUGAAAGGGUUCGACAUCGUUUGUAGACGUUGGAAUUUCCUAAGUUUAUUAAACUUGAAUUGGGAUGCGAUUCAUGUUUUGUGUUAUGUAUGAUGAUAUUUGACGAUUCGACUAAGUUCGUAUGAUAUUUUAGGACUUGUUGGUAGGUUUGAUUAAGAUCGCGGGGGCCUCGCAUAGAUUUCAAAUGGUUAACAAAUUGGGCAUUGACUUUGGAAGAUGGCUAAAGUUCAGUUAUCGGGUACAUCUAGUUUCCUUCUAUUCAUUCACGAAGGUUUUCCCCCAUUCACGUAUAGGAUUUGGAGAACAUUGGGAUUUAUGCCUUUGCAUUCGUGAUGUAGUUCUCGAAUUCGCGAAGCUGUGGAAUAUUAAGUCUAUGCGUUUGCGAGAGGAGCUAUGCAUUCGUGUAGAGGAAAGGUUAGAUGGGGCUCCAAGCUUUUAGCCUAAGAAAUCACUUAGUGGUAUACGCAUUCGCGAAGGGCUCUGGCGUGGAAAGCUCUGCUUUCAUGAGUGGGACCUUUCACAUAAGAAGUUUUUGGGCAGAAGCAUUUUUGUACUUCGCGAAUGCGAGGAGGCUUCUGCGUUCCCGAAGAAGGAAUACCUUGGCAGAACUUUAAAAUUUGAAGUCGAGGGUUUUUCUCCCAUUUUUCAUUUUAGGACCUUGAGAGGUCGGUUUGAUGCGAAAAUUUGAUGGAUUUUCAGAGGAAACAUUUGGGUAAGAAUUCUUGACUUGUUUUUUAUUAAUAUCCACUAAUCCAUCACUAAUUUCAUCAUUUAAUUAAGGUUUUGGGUUGAGAAAUUUGGGGAAAAAGUUGAAAAGUUCUUAAACCAAAUUUUAGGGUUUUGAUUGAGAUUUUGGUAUCGGGCUUGAGUAAUUUUGGUAUGGGUGGACUCGUGGUUGAACGAAUGUUAUGAGACGUGGGGGCCAGCCUUUUGGGGAAAAUUUCUAUAUUCUUGGUAUACUCUUGAUUUCAUUAAUUAGAUUAGUUUCGUAUAGUUUUAUUUAUGGUAUGAAAUUGAUUUUGGAUAGAUUUGGUCCAUUUAAGUCAAGGAAAAGGCAUUCUUAUUGACUGAUUGAGCCUGCUUGGGGAUAAGUGACUUGCCUAACCUUAUGUGAGGGAAAUCUCCUUAUGGUAUGGCAUUGUUUUAAUAAUUUGUGCUAUGUAGGCACCAUGUACGCGGGGUGACGAGCACGUACUCAUGCUUAAUAUUGAAAAAUCCCUAUUCUUGCUAAUUAGUCAUCUUUAAUUACUUGACUGAGUUACCCUAGCCUGUGUAGUCAUCAUGUUUCGCCUAAUAUCGCAUGCCUACUUGCUUAAUCUCUUACUUGAAAUUUGUGCAACAUGCUUAAUUUGAUUACCAAAUUUUCCUUGAUUUGUGUUCAGUCUUUGACUACAGGAUUUCUUGUUGUCAAUUUAUUGUUCCUUAAGUUAUGGGUAGUAUUUACUUUUUGGGACUACGAGGCAGUACCUUGAGAUAUCCCUGUCAUAUAGCUACUUUUUGGACUACGGGGCAAUACCUCGGGAGAUCCCCUAUUGCAUAUUUACUUUUGGGACUACGGGGCGGUACCUCCGGAGAUCCCCUAUUACAUAUUUACUUUAGGGAUUACAAGGGGUUCCUUUAGAGAUCCCAUGUCACGUAUUUACUUUUAGGGCUACGAGGCGGUACCUCGGGAGCGCCUUUAUUGUUAUCUCUAUAUACUGUGUUGUUACCUCUCUGUAACAUUUCGUUGUUAAUUUUUCUGUCCUUAUAUUAUGUUGCUAUAUUUUCUGCCUUAAUUAAUAUAUUGCAGUAGGGCCCUAACUUGACCUGGUCACUACUCUACCAAGGUUAGGCUUGGCACUUACUGGGUACCUUUAUGGUGUACUCAUGCUACUCUUCUACAUAUGUUUUGAGUGCAGAUCCAGGUACCUCGUAUCAGCUCCGCUGUUAGUAGUGAAUACAUGUUGAUGCUACAGAGGCUUCAAGGUAUAUCUGCCAUCGUCUGCAGACCUAGGAGUCCCUCUCUAUCCUUUUAAGUCGUUCUUCAUUAUUUUCCCUUGGAUGUUGAUGUAUAGAGACAAUAAGAAAAUUUCCUUAGAGCUUGUGGCUUAUGACUAUGGGGUCUUUGGGAGUUGUUUAUACUCGAAGUUACUGGUUUUACUUGUACAUGCCGAACGGCCGUUUUCUAGCUUUUAUAUAUAUAUAUAUAUAUAUAUAUAUAUAUAUAUAUAUAUAUAUUGUUUAUGAGGUUUUGUCAUUAAUUUCAUUAUUAUUUCCGUUAUUCAAAAACUAUUAGGCUUACCUAGUCUUGAAGACUAGGUGCCGUCACGAUGGCUUGCAAAGAGAAAUUUGGGCCGUGACAAGUUAGUAUCAAAGCUCUAGGUUCAUAGGUAUUAUGAGUCAUAAGCAGGUUUAGUAGAGUCUCGUAGAUCGGUACGGAGACGUCAGUAAUUUAUCUUUGGGAGGCUAUGGAACUGUAGGGAAAAUCUUUGACUUCCUUGAUCCCUUGUUGUGUGAAACUGUUGACUACAUGAUUCUAAGCUUUUGUGUUUCUAUUCUCCCACAGAUUGUAAGGAUACGUACAGAAGGAUUAGAUGAACAGACACCUAUGCCCCGUACUAGAACCGUGAGAGGUCGGAGACGGUGUAGAAGUCGAGGAUGUCCACAUGGUACAACCAGAGCAGCCACAUGACUUGCUACAAAGAAGCCACUAGUAGCUCCAAUUGUAGCACAGAAACCUGAGAUGCCUGUUACUAUACAUGCUCUUCAUGAGACCUAGCACAGUGUCUGAGCAUGUUUGGACCUUUGGCUUAGGCAGGGUUGAUCCCACUUGCUCCUGCCAUAUCUCAGGCCGGUAGGGGGGGGAGGGAGGGGAGCAUAGACUCCCGCCACCCAUACCCCAGAGUAGCAAGUUCAGGUUAAUUAGGUUCUAGAGGUCAUACUAGUGCAACUGCUAGCCCUAGUUCGCCAAGAGGCCAGGGCAACAGUAUCUGAGGAGGACCAACUCAAGCUGGAGAGGUACAAGAAUUACCACCCUCAUACUUUCAGUGGCAUGUCAUCAAAGAACACCCAGGGUUUUCUUGAGGAGUGCUACUGUAUUCUCCGUACUAUGGGUGUUGCGGAGUCCAGGGGGGCUUAUUUCACCAAAUUCCAACUUAGAGGAUUGUCCUAUUAGUGGUGGAAGGCAUAUGGGUUGAAUAGCCCAGUCGAGACAUCUUCACUCACUUGGAGUUUUCUCAAAUAUAUUUUUGUGCGAGUAUGUUUCCACGAGCCUCAGAGAUUAAUGGCGCAUAGAGUUUGAGCAAUUGUGCCAGGGUCCUAUAACCAUGUCAGAGUGUACGGUCUGGUUUAAUGAUUUAUAUAGGCAUGCACCAACCUUGGUUACUACUAUUCGAGAGAGGGUCUAUCGAUUUAUCAAAGGUCUCAACACAAGUAUCAUAUUUAGCAUGGCCCGAUAGUUGGAGAUAGACAUCGCAUACUAGCAGGUAGUGGGGAUUGCUAGGACAUUGGAGGGUAUAUUGAUUUGGGAGAGAGAGGCCAGGAGUUCUCGAGAGAAGGGCACUUAUAGUGGUACUUGUGCCCUAGCUAAAGUUCAUCAUAGUAGAGGCUUUGUGAGCCUCAUUUACUAUUUAGUACUUCCAGCAGACAACGGUACUCUAGCCACUCCUAGGCCCAAGAUACUUAUUAUGCAUCGCUAUUGUAGGGUACCUCCUAUAUGGGGUGCUUUCAAUGGUUAGUCCAAACUACCUGGCCCAACCAGCCAUAACAGCUAUACCCUCCGAGAGCUUGUUUGAGUGUGGAGAGACUCGCCAUAUGGUGAGGGAUUGUCCCAAACAUAGGAGGGGUGCACCUCUACAUACUACUUAGGUACCACAUACUCCACCAGGUUCCUAGGCUAUUAUUACAGCACCAGCUACCACCCUACCUACUUAGCUAGCUCGAGGUAGAGGUUAGGAAGGUAGAGGUCACCCUAGAAGGGAAGGCCAGGCCAGAUAUUAUGCCGUUCUUGCUAGUACGGAGGCCAUUGCCUCCAACUCUGUCAUUACAGGUAUUGUUCUAGCCUGUCAUAGAGAAGCAUUAGUCUUAUUUGAUCAAGGCUCCACUUAUUCCUAUGUGUCAUCUUAUUUUGCUCUGUAUCUAGGUGUAUCCCGUGAUUCCUUAAGUUCUCCUAUUUUUGUGUCUGCACCUGUAAGAGAUUCUAUUAUUGUUGACCUUUUAUAUCAAUUGUGUCUGGUUGUUCUUAUUAGUUUUGAGACCAUAGCAGAUUUAUUAUUGCUUAGUAUGAUGGACUUUUAAAUUAUUUUGGGCAAAAUCGGUUUCCGUCCCAUUAUGCUAUUCUUAAUUGUCACGCCAAGACUGCGAUGCAUGCUAUACCCGGAUUACCACGGUUAGAGAAGAGGUACCUUAGAGUAUACUCCUAGUAGAGUUAUUUCAUUUCUUAUUGCUCAACGAAUGUUUGAGAAUGCGUAUGAUGUGUAUCUAUCUUAUGUGAGAGCUGUUAGUAUUGAUAUUCCUACCAUUGAGUUAUUUCGAAUAUUGACGGAUUAUCUAGAUAUAUUUCCAGCAUAUAUUCAAGCAUGCCACCUGAUAGGGAUAUAAACUUUUAUAUUGAUUUGUCGUCAGGAACUCAACCCAUCUAUAUUCCUCCAUAUUGUCCUCCUUAGUUGAAAGAGUUGAAAGAGCAAUUACACGAGUUGAUUGAUAGGGGCUUCAUUCGACCUAGUGUGUCACUUUGGGUUGUUCUAGUCUUGUUUGUGAAGAGGAAGGAUGGUGCAAUGCUUAUGUGCAUUGAUUAUCACCAAUUGAACAAAGUCAUAGUGAAGAACAAGUAUCCAUUGCCUGGUGUUGAUGAUCUAUUUGAGUAGUUACAAGGUGCCAAAUUGUUUUCCAAGAUUAACUUGCAUUCGUGUUGUCAUUAGUUGAAGAUUCGAAGACAGAUAUCCCGAAGACUACUUUCAAGAUUUGGUAUGGUCACUACGAGUUCCUUGUGAUGUCAUUUGGGCUGACUCACACCCCAACAACAUUCAUGCACUUGAUGCACUAUGUAUUCCAGCCCUAUCUUGACUCGUUUAUCAUUAUGUUUAUUGACGACAUUUUGGUAUGAUCUCAGAGUCGGGAGGAUCAUAAGCAUCACAUAAGGACUGUUCUUCAGACCUUAAGAGAAAAGAAGUUAUAUGCAAAAUUCUCUAAGUGUGAGUUCUGGCUGGAUUUAGUGGCAUUUUGUGGGUCACGGGUGUCGAGUGAGGGGAUCAAGUUAGAUCAAAAAAAUAUUGCAGUAGUGUAGAGUUUUCACAGACAGUCCUCACCUACGGAGAUCCAGAGUUUUCUUAGUUUAGAGAGGGGGGGGGGGGAUUACCGUCUAUUNNNNNNNNNNNNNNNNNNNNNNNNNNNNNNNNNNNNNNNNNNNNNNNNNNNNNNNNNNNNNNNNNNNNNNNNNNNNNNNNNNNNNNNNNNNNNNNNNNNNNNNNNNNNNNNNNNNNNNNNNNNNNNNNNNNNNNNNNNNNNNNNNNNNNNNNNNNNNNNNNNNNNNNNNNNNNNNNNNNNNNNNNNNNNNNNNNNNNNNNNNNNNNNNNNNNNNNNNNNNNNNNNNNNNNNNNNNNNNNNNNNNNNNNNNNNNNNNNNNNNNNNNNNNNNUCAAGUUAGAACAAAAAAAUAUUGCAGUAGUGUAGAGUUUUCACAGACAGUCCUCACCUACGGAGAUCCAGAGUUUUCUUAGUUUAGAGAGGGGGGGGGGGUAUUACCGUCUAUUUAUAGAUAGUCUCUCAUCUAUUGCAACUCUUUUAACUAGGCUAACCUAGAAGGGUGCUCUGUUCAGGUGGACGAAUGAGUGUAAGGAGAGCUUUCAAAAGCUAACGAAUACUUUGGCUACGGCCCUAGUACUUGUAUUGCUUACUGGUUUGGGGUCAAAUACUGUAUAUUGUGAUGUAUCGUGAAUUAGUCUCAGUGCAGUGUUGAUGCAAGAUGAUAGGGUGAUUGCCUACGUGUAUACAUCUGAUGGUGCAUCAAAAGAACAAUCAUGUCCACAACCUUGAGUUAGCAGUUACUUCUCAUGCCUUGAAGAUAUUGUAGAACUAUUUGUAUGGUGUCCCUUGUGAUAUCUACACUGAUUACCAGAGUCUGCAUCAAUUUUUCAAACAUAAAGAUCUUAAAUUGCGUCAGUGGAGGUGGUUAGAGCUGCUCAUGGAUUAUGAUAUCACUAUUAUAUAUCAUCCAGGAAAAGCCACUGUGGUGGUCGAUGCCUUGAGUUGUACGGUGGAGAGUAUGGGCAACUUAGCAUAUCUACCAGUAGCAGAGAAACCAUUGGCAUUGGAUGUUCGCACCUUGGACAACUAGUUUUUAGAUUGGAUAUUUCUAAGCCUAGUCGAGUUCUGGCUUGUGUGGUCCUCACUCUUCUUUUUUUAUCGUAUCAAGGAGAGUAACCAUGAUGACCCCCAUCUGCUUGUCCUUGAGGACACGGUGAUGCUUAGGCAGUCACUAUUAUAGAUGAUGGUGCAUUGAGGAUGCAGUGUAGGCUAUGUGCGUCUAAUGUAGAUGGUUUGCGUGAGUUGAUUCUCUAUGAGGCUCAUAGUUCGUGGUACUUCAUUCAUCUGGGUGCCGCAAAGAUGUAUCAGGACUUGAGGUAGCAUUUUUUGUGAAAGAGAAUGAAGAAGUACAUAGUUGAGUAUGUAGCUCGGUGUCUAAAUUUCUAGCAAGUGAAGUAUGAGCAUGAAUGGCCAGGUGGAUUGCUUUAGAAGCUAGAGAUUCCAGAGUGGAAAUGGGCAAAUCAAUAUGGAUUUUUUUGUUGGACUUCAACAGACUCAGAGGAAGUGUGAUGCUAUUUGGGUCAUUGUGGAUAAGUUGACCAAGUUAGCUUAUUCCGUUCUUGUGAGGACUACUUAUUCUUUCAAGCACCUGGAUCGAGUUUAUAUCUAUGAGAUUUUCAAACUUUAUGGCGUGCCGAUAUCUAUCAUCUCUGAUCGAGGUAUCAAGUUUACAUUACAGUUAUGGAGGGCCAUACAACAUAAGUUGGGUACUCGGGUUGAGUUGAGCACAACAUUUCACCCUCAAACGGGUAGAUUGUCCGAGUAUACUAUUCAGAUACUAGAAGAUAUGCUCUGUGCAUGUGUGAUGGAGUUUGGGGUUCUUCAGAUCAGUUCUUGCCUCUUGCGGAGUUUGCCUACAUCAGCAAUUAUCAGUCUAGCAAUCAUAUGGCAUUGUAUGAGGCUCUGUAUGGUUGGCGACGUUGGUGUUGGUUCAAGCCGUUCUAGGCUAGGCUAUUGGGUACAGACUUCGUUCAGGAUGCUUUGGAAAAUGUUAAGGUGAUUCAGGAUCGACUUUGCAUAGCCAUGUUUGGACAGAAGUGUUAUACGGAUCAGAAGGUUCUCGAUGUUUCAUUCAUGGUUGGGGAGCGGAUCUUUCUUCGGGUUUCUCCUAUGAAGGGUGUUAUGAGGUUCGGGAAGAAGGGAAAUCUAUGCCCUAGGUAUAUCGGGCCUUUUGAGAUUCUUGACAGGUUAGAGGUGGCUUACUGAUACCAUCUAGCCUAGCUGCAGUUCAUCCAAUAUUCCAUGUUUCUAUGCUCCGGAAGUAUAAUGGUGAUCCUUCUCAUGUGUUAGAUUUCAGCUUAGUAUAGUAGGACAAGGACUUGUUCUAUGUUGAGGAGCCGGUGGUCAUUUUCGACUGGCAGGUUCUAAAGUUAUGGUCAAAGAACAUUGCUCCAGUGAAGGUUAAGUGGAGCGGUUAGCUGGUCAAGGCGGCAACUUGGGCGACCGAACAUGAUAGUUGGAGACAUUAUACCCAUCUUUUCACCACUUCAGAUAUGUCUCUAUGCUCGAUCAAGGGCGAAAUUGUUUUAAGAAGGGGAAGAUGUAGUAACCAUCCGGUUUUUUUGAGAGUAUUAGCCUCGAUCCCUUAUUUACUGCUUCCUCCAUCUAAUUUUAUGCUUAUGUAACUUGUCGGGAGGAUUUAUUUUUUAUUUCGGAGUGAAAUGGUACACUUAGUCCCUAAAAUAGAAGCUUAAUUUCUAGGAGCUUGACUAUAGUUGGAAUUGUGUGAAGAUGACUCCAGAACGGAGUUUUGAUGGUUCCAUUAGCUCUAUUGGAAGAUAUUGGGCUUAGGAGCGUGUCCGGCUUGUGAUUUGGAUGUUCGUAGUUGAAUAAAGCUUGAAAUGGCAAAAGUUACAUUUUUUAGAAGUUUGACUGGGAGUGGACUUUUUGAAUCCAGGUCAAAUUCUGGUUCCAUAUGUUGGAGUAGGUCAGUCAUGUCAAAUAUGACUUCUGCGCCAAAUAUAAGGUCAAUUAGAUGUGUUUUGAUAUAGUUCGACAACGUUUGUAAAAGUUAGAAUAUCCUAAGUUCAUUAAGCUUGAAUUGGGGUGUGAUUCAUAUUUUUGGCAUUGUUUGAUGUAAUUUGAGGGUUUGACUAAGUUCAUAUGAUAUUCUAUGACUUGUUAGUAGGUUUUGUUGAGGUCUCAAGGGCCUAGGGUGGAUUUUGUAAGGUUAAUGGAUUGGGAAUUGAUUAUGACAGAUGGUUGAAGUUCAGUUAGCUUGUGCAUCUAGUUUCAUUCUACGCAUUCACGAGGGUUUUACUGAAUUCGCAUAGAGGAUUUAGGGAUCACAAGGAUUAUUUCCUUCAUAUUUGUGAUAUAGUCCCGCGUUUUGGAAGUUAUGGAGUGUUGAGUCUAUGCGUUCGCAAGAUGGGCUAUGAGUUCAGAUAGUGGGUUGGUCAGAUGUGGCUCAAUAGUUCUAGCCUUUGUGAUCGCGUAGUGGUGGACACGUCCGUGAAGAGUCUGGCAAGGAAAUCUCCGUAUUUGCGAAUGUGACCUCGCUAAUUGAACAAAGUCACAAGGAAAAAUAGGUAUCCAUUGCCUCGUAUUGACGACCUAUUUGAUCAUUACAGGGUGCAAGAGUGUUUUACAAAAUUGACUUGCAUUCAUGUUAUUGUCAGUUGAAGAUCAGUAGCCAGAUAUCUGGAAGACUGCUUUCAACACUUGGUAUGGUCACUACAAGUUCCUUGUGAUGUCAUUUUGGUUGAAUAGCACCCCAGUAGCAUUGAUGCACUUGAUGAACAGUGUAUUCUUGUCCUAGCUUGACACAUUCAUGUGUUUAUUAACGACAUUCUGGUGUACUCUUGGAGUUGGGAGGAUCAUGAGCAACACUUAAGAAUUCUGCUUCAAACCUUGAGAAAGAAUAAUCUAUAUGCAAAAUUAUCGAAGUGUGACUUCUGGCUAGAUUCAGUGGCAUUUUUGGGUCACGUAGAGUCGAGUGAGGGGAUCAAGGUGGAUCAGAAGAAGGUUGAAGCAGUGCAGAGUUGGCUCAGACUGUCCUCAGCUACAUAGAUCAAGAAUGUUUUAGUUUGGGGGGAGGGUGGGGUAUUACCGAGGGUUACUCAUCUAUUGCAAUACUUAUGACUGGGCUGACCUAGAAGGGUGCUCAAUUCAGGUGGACAGAGUAAUGUAAGGAGAGAUUUCAAAAGCUCAAGACAGCUUUGGCUAUGGUCCCAGUAUUGGUAUUGCCUAUAUGUUCGGGUUCUUAUACUGCAUAUUAUGAUGCAUCAUCGAUUGGUCUCGGUGCGGUGUUAAUGCAGGAUGGUAGGGUGAUUGCCUACCCAUCUAGGCAACUAAAGGUGCAUGAAAAGAACUAUCCUAUCCACGACGUUGAGUUAGUAGCAACUUUUCAUGCCUAGAAGAUUUGACGACACUAUUUGUACAGUGUCCCUUGUAAGAUCAACACCGAUAACCAGAGUCUACAACAUCUCUUCAACAAAAGGAUAUUAACUUGCAUCAUCAGAGGAGGUUAGGCACUUGUUUAACAAUUUGUGAUAUGUGAGCACCGUGUACAGGAGGUGAUAAGUGCAUACACCUGCUAAAUGUUGAAAACUCGAUUCUCGCUAAGUAGUCUAUUUUAAUUACUUAACUGAGUUACCCUAGCCUAUGUAGUCAUCAUGUUUAGCCAAAUAUCAUAUGCCUACUUGCUUAAACUCUUGCUUGCAAUUUGUGCAACAUGCUUAAUUGGAAUUACCUAAUAUUCCUUGAUUUGUAUUCAUUCUCUAACUGUAGGAUUUUUUGUUAUAAAUUAAUUGCUCCCAAAGUUAUGAGUUGUGCAUUUAUUUUUUGUCUACAAGGCAAUACUUGGGAGAUCCCCUAUUGCAUAUUUACUUUUGGUACUAUGAGGCGGUACCCGGGAGAUCCGCUAUCGCAUAUUUACUUUUAGGACUAUGAGGUGGUACCUUUGGAGAUCCUCUUUUGCAUAUUGACUUUUUGGAUUAUGAGGUGGUACCUCAGGAGAUCCCCUAUUGUGUAUUUACUUUAUAGACUACGAGAAGGUACCUCGGGAGAUCCCCUAUCACAUAUUUACUUUUGGGACUACAAGGCAGUAUAUCGAGAGAUCCCCUAUUGCAUUUUUACUUUUGGGACUACGAAACGGUACCUUGGGAGAUCCCCUGUCGAGUAUUUACUUUUGGGACUAUGAUGUGAUAUCUCGAGAGCGCCCCUGUUCUUAUCUCUUUUUGUUAUGUUGUUACCUCUCUGUAACAGUUUAUUGUUAAAUUCUCCGUCAUUCUAUUAUAUUGCUAAAUCUUUGGCCUUAAUUAAUAUAUUGCAGUAGGGCCAUAACCUGACCUUGUCACUACUCUACCGAGGUUAGGCUUGGUACUUACUAGGUACCGUUAUGGUGUACUUAUUCUAUCUUCUGCACAAAUUUUUUGUGCAGAUCCAAGUACCUCCUACCAGCCCCGCUAUUAGUGGAGAGUAUGUGUUGUUUCUACGGAGGACUUCAAGGUGUAUUUGCAAGCAUCCGCAGAUCUCGGAAUCCCCUCCAUCCUUUUAUGUCUUUCAUAUUUAUUUUCCCUCGAUGUUGAUGUAUAGAGACAGUUAGAAAAAAUCUUUAGAUCUUGUGACUUGUGACUACCGGGUCUUUUGGAGAUGUUUAUACUCGGAGUUGUUGGUUUUACUAGUACAUGCCGACCAAUAGUUUUCCAGCUUAUCUCCCUCUCUCUCUCUGUAUAUAUAUAUAUAUAUAUAUGUUGUGGAGGUUUAGUUGUUAAUUCCACUGUUAUCUCAGUUAUUCCGUAGUUGUCAGGCUUACCUAGUCUUAAAGAUGAGAGGGCCGUCAUGACAACUUACGGAGGGAGAUUUGGGUUGUGAUGUAUGAGCUUAUCAUAUAUAGUAGAACCAUGAUACACAAAUCUAAUUGUCGCACACCAUUUUCUCGAGAAAGUGCGUUUUGACAUGUGACAACUCUUUUAAAUUGAGGUUAAAUGAGAACAGUCGCCACCUAACGAUUCUUUAAAGUGCGUUAGGCCACCUAUGUGCAAAUAACUUUUUUUGGAUAGUCUGUGUCACCAAAGAUCGGGUAAGGGUUCAAAUUACCUCAAAGAGAAGGUGUUAGUCACUCUUCGAUUUCCACAACUGUGGAUUCUUGUCUAACUUGAAACUAUGUGAAUUAUGUAAUUAGGAUAAGUGAUUAAAUAAAUAAUAGAAAAUUUAGAAGUCAAAGAAUCUUAUUAAAACAUAUGAGAAUCAGUACAAAUCUUAAUGAACACAACUACAUCGAUCUAUGUUAAGAGACUAAGGAUAAAUAACAAAUACAUAAAGAAAAGGGGGGAUCCUAUAUUUUUUAGCCUAAAGAAUUACCCCGUGCAACAUAAAUAAUACUUCUCAACAUCCCUUGAGGUAGGGGGUUGCUCAUAUUUUCAGCGGAUAUAUACUAUCAUCUCGUGCUACCCAAUUACUAUGUUGAAGUUUUUUGCUUAGAAGCCCUCUAAUUCAAUUCUAAGUCGUGUCCUAUGUGUGCACUGCCCAUCCCAUGCUUAUAGUUCAGGAGGCAUUUGGACCUACUAUUUGGAUGGUUCCAGACUUAAAUUAGGUUGCCCAAAAAUGAUAAAACUAAGCUACAUUCACUAUACAUAGAACUCCACGUAAAGACAAUUAAAGGCCUAUGUUAGCCUCCACAAAUAAAAACAGAGGCACAAAAGCAUAUUUUCAGGUUAUGCAGUAGACAGUUUCAGAAUUAAGGCGUAUUAUAUCCGUUAAGUCAUAUAAGCAUAAUUUCUAGGCGAUUUCAGCAGUGUACAUGCAACGGAUUUGCAUAUUAAGGGCAUUAAAAACCAAUAGGCAUGAUCCCUAGAUUGUUUACUCAAUGAGGCAAUGAAACAAUCCCAGAACUUUAAAUUACCAGCGCUGAUUUUAUUGACAUGUUUCUUAGGCAGGUGAUAGUGUCCUCUAGGCAGGAUUUCUAGUAGUUGAUAAUUGAAAUUGAUGUUAUAUAGUUGAUCCCUAUAGGUAUGUCGUCUAAGUGUAGAAAUGUGAGGAAGUGAUUAAGACCCAAUAGUCAUGAUGUCUAAAGGAGCAGGGUGCUAAGAGCAAUAGAAUAGUUGAUUGAUUAAUUAAUUAAAACCUUAUAGACAUGGUAUAUAGGUGUACAUAAGAAAAACAUGUGUUAUUAUAUCCUAUAAGCAUGCUAUCUAGAAGCAGUGGUGCGGGAGAAUAGCAAUAAUGACAGCUUGGUUACUCAAGUUAAGAGCCUACGAUGAUGAUAUCUAGGUGAGUUACACAGUUCAAAGAAGUAGCCUAAACAUGCAUUUUUAGUUGUUUGUAUUGAACUCUUAUAGGCAUAACGUCUAAGUGCAAUCAAGUCAAAUUUUAGACCCCAUUGGCAGCUAUCUAACAUUGCAAGUAAUGCUUUCUAGGUGAAUGGACAAGCAAAUAGCACAUGAAGUAGAUAAAUGGCUAAUAAACAAAUUAAGGUCCAGCAAACAUGUUUUUUAACCUUUCAUGCAAAGAAUAGAACAUCCUUGUUCCCCCAUUUCACUAAUUUGCCAAUUGUUUACUUAUAAAUUAUUACAGGCCCAGAUAAUGAAUAUAACUGCAAAUAUUACACACGAAAAAUUGUCGUCCCAAGCGCAGGACCAAAUAAAAAUAACCCAGUACUGACUGGGCCUUCAACAAGCUUACUUUCACACGAAUAGCAAGCCAAAUCCAAGUACCUCUCAAACAGGAGAAUGUGCUCAUUUGGAUAGCCCAAAGCCACACAUGAACUCAGACCAUGCCAAACAAUUAUAGAUUGACCACUCGACCUAAAUAAAUUAAUGAACCACACAUGAAAUCAAUUAAACAACCCUGAUAUAAUACCUCAUAGAGACGGGAUUACAUGACAUUCAUCAUGAUUCACAUAAAACAUAUUGGUAAUUCAGAACCAAGAGUGACUAGAUUGAUUAAACAAAGAAUAUGGGAAUUAGGAGAAUCAGUAGGGCUUAACUUCAAUAUGGUAACUUUGACAUGGAAAACUAACAACAUGGGUUCAAUUAUUCAACAAGUGAUUGCAUGCGGAGGAAAGACAUACAAUUAAGAGAAUUGAGGGGACAUAGUACUUAGAGUAAUAGGGUGAGCAUGAAAGACACAUACAAGAUGAAUACGCUAAGCCUUCCAGAGUAAAUUCAGAGUAAAACAUAAACCAGAAUUAGCCUAAAACUAAGACCCUAAGUCAUGGAGGUCUGAUAGAGUUAUAGACAAAGGAUAGCAAUUACAAAUAGCAAAAAAGCAGAUAGGCAUGAUCUAUGACAGCCAAUAAUAAUCCAAAUCAUGAUGAGUAUAACACAACGAUUCCCAAUUAAAAAGAUAUAUCAUGGCAAGAAGACAAACCAACUUAAGGUCAAGUUGAGCUAACAUAUUUCGAAACUUAUGCCAGUUAAAUAUGCAUAGUAGAAGCUGACUAUAUUUGAAUUCAACUAGAAGUUUUAGGCAAUACUAAAGAGUUCAGGAUAAACAAAACAUUAGAGUUCUCAGCAACAAAGCAAUAUGUUUCGCUAAAUUGAGACAAUAAUUGACACAUAAGGUUCAUGUAAGCAUUUAGCAGAUUGUACAUAAAGGAUUCAUCAGAAAGAAGUUUAAUCAAACAAGUUCUAGGCAAAAAAUAAUCUCCUAAGAGUUUCAGUACAAGAAUAUCAGGCAAGGCAUGAGAGAGGCCUCAUAACAAAGUGUGGAAGAUCAAAAUAGCUAAGUGGGCUUAAGGUAAUCAGGAAUCAUUCAAGUCGCACACAUAAAUGAGCAUGCAUCGAAGCUUAGAGUUCAAACACUAGCAAAGCAGAUGGGUACAAAAGAAUUCUAAGGCAAACAAGAAUAUUAACAGAGGAAAAUAGUAGUAGCAUAUUAAUUCACGAAAGCCUAAAUGACAUGAGCAUACAAAGCAUGAAUAUAAGCAAAAGAUAAGGAAUAUGCGAGAGUCCCAGUACUUACCAAUUUGAAUAACUAAAGAGCACAUAAGGUGGAAAAUUAAAUGUCAGCAGCAUCUUUCUUAUCAGUAGCAAAGAUAGAACGACAGAGACCCAAAAUUCUUAGUGUGUCGUAGUGUCCAAGGAUCUCAAAUGAACCCCGAGCAUUUCUUACAUUGAGAAAGGUUAAGAAAUUGAAUUUUGGUCUCCUUGGCUUUCAGCCGGCCAAGAAUAUUUGAUUCAGAAAGAGUAAGACUAUAGUGAUUAAGGUGAUUAAUGUCUCUCCAAAGAGAAAAAUGGGAGGGGUUUAUAUAGUGACAGAUUAGGAUGAAUAGACAUGGAAAAUAAUCAAAUAAACCUAAAUAAGUAAGGAAAAGAUCACAUGCAAUUGGUAACAGAGCAUGUAAAGAGGUGACAGAAAUUUAAAACCCUAGUUGGGAUCGAACUUAGGCCAAAUCAUUCACAACCCCCUAUUAUGGCGGAAUCAAUAGGGAUAUACCAUAUACAUGAGAGAUUUUCUCUUUUGAAGUGUAUAGAACCAUAGUCACACCCAGAACCAUAGAAUCAAAGCAAGACCUGUGAGAAUCUAACUUGUCAUUAGAAUAAUGGUAAAUAAUGUUACCAUAAAUGAGUGAUAGUAGCAUAAAGGGUAAGUAAAAUUUGCGUAUGAACGCGUAGAAUGAAGGAAUAAUAGAGAAUCUCCAUGGUCGGCUAGGGUUAGUAUGCGAGUGGAGCGAUGAGAGAAUAAAGAGGUGGCUUGGCAGGGAAAUAGGUAUCUAGGGUUUGGGCGAGGGGUUAUAAGGAGAGAUGGGGUUUAUUAUGGGCAGUUGAUCAUUUAAGAUCAACAGCCAUGAUCGAAAUGGGGGUGGGUGGAUUGUUUAAAUGGGUAUAGACUGGGUUGAGAUUAAGGGGUCAUUUGGUUUGGGCUGAAAAGUCUGGCCAGUGAUUUUGGGGUGUUAAGGCUACUAAUGUGGUCAAAAAAUAACUCACAAUUGAGAUACAAAUUAAAAUACAGGAAAACUAUUAAUAAAAUAAUUUACAAAAAUAAUUAAUAGAAAAAAACAUAUUUUUUUGAAGGUUAAAAGGAUAGUUAUAUUACUAGUAGUAAUAACAGUAGUACUAAUCCCAUGAUAUUUAUCCUAAGGGACAUAUCCCAUAGCGCCAUCAUGGUUACAUACUUGUUCAAUGCCACUUAGGGCAUUGUCUUUUCCAAGUGAUGCUAAAAUAUUACAUGCCAACAAAGUGCAUUCCCUGACAUUUUCCCUACCGUCCUUUUCCUUGAAGUAUACAUUUUCCACAAAAUUAGGAGGUUCUUUAAGAAAACUAGUUAUAUUAUAAGUAGGUUGCAAUAGAGCUUCCUUGGCCAAGAGGUGUGCCACCUUGUUUCCUUCCCGGAAGUUAUGCUUCAUUCUGAUCUCCCUCCUCUCCAUUAUCUUCUCCAUUAAGUACUUGCAUUCAUCAAGCAAACUUUUGUAAGUAAAGUAGUCUUCUUCUAGAAAACGUAUUACCUCUGUAGCAUCUGUCUCUAUUUCACAUGGUGUGAAAUUUUCCUGCAUAGUUACGUGCAAAGCUUUCCGAAAAGCUAGUAGCUUUGAGUGUAUUGGUCAGGUACUUUCACAUUUUGCAUUGAACCCCGGUAUCCAAUCUCCAAUGUUAUUUUGUAUUACACCACUAAUGCCACCCUGCAUAAUUUAUUUAUUGGAAGCACCAUCAAUGUUAAUUUUGUACCAAUUUCUAGGAGGUGGGUGCCAUUUUACCCUAACUUUGAUAGAGGAGUUAAUAUUGGAUUUUGUAGUCGCUAAUAACUGGUAUUCCAGUGCUAGCUUAUAAACUUUGGUAGUGCUAACUUUGUUAGCAGUGUUGUUGUUAUUGUUAUCAUUCCUAUUAUUCCAUAUGGGCUAUAGAACUAACGGAAAUGCCAAUUCCCAGCUGGUAUGGCUAUAUUGAGCUUUAGGGGAUUUGUUCCUUAGGAAAUCUAUCCAAUGUUCCUGAGGCUCUGGGGGUUUCAAGGGGACUCCUAUAGCUGCCCAAAAUAUUUUUGUCACUUUUCAUUCCCAAAAUAUGUGUAGAAGGGAUUCAUUCGUUUUAAAAAUAGGGCAAUUUGUAUCAAUAUUGACACCUAUUUUCUCUAAGUAUUCUCUAGUAGGUAGCCUGGAGUGACAACAUUUCCAUAUAAAAAAUUUAAUUUUCCUAGGGCACUCUAAUUUUCAUAUCCAAUCAAACUUGUAGCAUGUGUAGUUAUUAUUGUCACAAUUGUAAUCAUCAAGCAGUUUAUAACAAGAGGAGAUUGUGAAUACACCACUAGUAUUUAUAGACCAAACAAUUGUGCUAUUCUGAUUGUUGGCUGUGGUUAUUGAGUGGAUGCUAUUAAUCAUAUUGAUGCGGAGAUUCAAAGAAAUUUGAGACAUAUCCCAAGUAUUUUGAUUUGUUAUAUCUUUUAGAGUAAGCUCACUUUUCUUUUUAUUGAGGGGUUCUAUAAUAUUCUUCCUUAGUGAUCCAAACUUGGAGAUCCAAUUAGUGUCCCAAAUGGACAUGUUGGGAUCUUUAUCCACUGGCCAUCUAGUGCCCUCUCUAAAAUAGCUCAAACUUUUUAAGAGGCUUUUCCAAGUGUGAGAGGCCUUAUUAGUUGAUUUUAUAUGGUUGUAACUACUGCAAAUAACACGUACCCAAGUACCAGAAGUGAUUAUUUAAGAACCUCCACACUAGGCUGGUUAGAAGGGAUACGUUAAAAUAACAUAUUAAUUGUACAACAAAGUGAUUGAAAACAAUAACUUAACAUUACAAAAAUAUAAAAAAGUUAUUUCGCACAAAUAAUGUAAAAUAUGUAUUCAUGUAUGGCGCAUGGCUAUUAUUGCAAAUUGUGUAAGUAGGAUAAAAAUACUAAUAUAGUUAUUUAAAAUGAGGGUUUAAAAAAGAUUAUGAAACCUAUAUGUGGAUACAAAUAAUUAAAUGCAAGAAAAUUAAUUUUAAAGCUCUAAAAAUUAUGAAAAAUUAUUAAAAAUAUUUGUAUAAAUCUUCUAAAUUAAGUAGUGAUGCAAAAUAAAAUUUGAAAAUAUAUGUACUAUUUGAAAACAUAUGAGGCAAAAUUGGGUAUCAACACUCGUAAGAGUAACCGGCUCUCCUAGAACUCACAUUAACAUCAACUGCACGGACAAUUCACAUGCCAAUAAUAUCAAUGUAUGGAUCUACACGGACAAGUCACGUGCUAAUAGCAUAAUCUGCCUGGUAUAUUCCUAACCUCCAGUCCAACAUAUCAUAUGGGAGCAUUUAAACAUGUACACAUGUAUUUGAUUAUGAAAUAAGAUUUUCAUGCUCCUGGACUGGUAUAAAUAACACACGUGCAACGUGUGCUAUCACAACACAAAUUAGCAAGUGAUAUCAGAAAUAGUAUAUUACCUAAUUUAUUUAGGGAUCUAUCCUGCAACCUCAAGUAUGGCUAAUAUAGUUCUCAACAAAAGUCUAAAUAUGAGAAUGUUAUAACUUUAAGCUUAACGGUCAACUCUAGACAUAUCAUAGCCUAAGCAUUUUCCCCAGCAUGAAUACUUUCCCUCGGUACUCGCACAUGGGCUCAAGCCUCACGUAUAUGUGAUCUCAUAGCGCGUAGCUAUCACAAAUAAUUCGCGAAACUAGUGCCUCCACCGAGUUCAAAUAAAAUAAUCACCUCAAACUGGUCGCAACCCCGAAAUAAUAUGCUUCUGAGAACUCUCGAUCUCCAAAUUCAUAGGACACAUUCAUCACUAUAACUGAUCCCAACUCUAGCAUUCGAAUGACUAACACAUCUUUCAUGCACGAUCAUCCCAUGAGGAAUACUUCCAUACUUCUUCAGUUCCAUAUAGCAAUAAUUUGAAUAUCAGCAUUCUAUAAACCAGAUGAGUACCACAAUACUGAUGAACAUCUAUAAGUCAAAACACAAUGCACCUUAUGGGCACCAUUCUUAGGGAAUACCAAACAGUUAUAAAUUCAUAUACAUAUUUGAAACUGCCCAUUCUGUCCAAAAUUCAUGACCUUCCCUUCAAGACUGAAUUGCCACCUUGUAAUGUCAAUCUUAAUCCUACACAACACACAAUAUCUAUCAUGUCAUCAUGUGAAAAGCAUGUGAAUCUCAUUAUCAUUAUCGACUCACCAAAAAAUUACACAACUGAUUAGUUGGAAACCUUCCAUUUGCUCCCAUUCAAGAGGAAAUCACAAUACACAACAAGCUCCUCACACCGGUACAAAAUAUCCGGCUCAAAUCUUGGUGGGAACCAUCAAGAACAUUUGAAAUUCAUUUGCACUUAAACAAGCUACCAAAACUGAAUUCCUUUAACUCAACCAGUUCACGCAGGUCACCAAAAUCGAGAGUAUUGCCACGAAUCACCCGCAAAGCCUCACCCAUCAUAAGAACCAAGCUUAACAAUACCAUACUAAUACAAAUUGCAGCCUAAUACUCAAUUGUCCUAUUUUCUCCGAGUUUCUUGAAAAUUAACCUCAAGUUGACGUUUCUCCUUGUUAGAACACCACAAUCCUUACUCAAAGCUCACUACCAGAUAUCCUAAUAUAACACCACACACCCUAAGUCCUAUAAGUUGUUGUAUUCCUUAUUAAAAACCCCAUAAUUACCACAACUUAGAUGUCUAUGCUAAAGAGACCUUACAUGAAAUUAGAAUUAUUCUUUUUACUUUUCUAGUACUGAAAUGUAGAAUCCAUAGUGAUACAGAAUUACUGCAUGUGCCAGCACCCAAUCUUAGAUCUUGACCAUACACCAACCCAAAAAAUUCUUAAUUACUACAUAUAAACUUUUGACUCUUUAGAAACCUAUCGUGAAUAAUCCCCCCUGCUCAAUCUAAAUUUUAUCGCCCAAAUGGACCAAAAGACACAAGCUACAUUAAUACAAAAAUACCCAAAGAAGUGAUCAUGCCUUAACACCACCAAUCAAAUUCAUACUUCCUGCACACUAGAUCCUUUAAAAAUAAUAGCUUACUCAUCCCAUAAUUGUCAUACACUCAUAAAGUGCAAUGUAACCCUUAUCAAAAAAUUUUAUUACUCAAGUCAUUCUCGAUCUUCUUCGCAAAUCAUAGCGGAUCCACAAUUAUCCCUCAAACAAAAGGCAGUAUUUAGCACAUAACCUCAAAAUAAAAUAGGUAAUUGCAGGAUCCUCCACUUAUCUCAAAGCCAUAGAAAAAAACAUUCAAUAAUUCAAAAUUCCCAUGCUCUAUUACUGCCAAAUAUUUCGCAAAUACAUUCAACCAAGUCCUUUACAAACCCAUGUAACACAUACCAUACAAUACCCUAACCAUAUGCCAAGCUCAUAGUCAUCUUCGUGACAACCAAGUCAAAUUUCUCAACCAAUCCAAACUCAAAUAGCACUAUAUAUAACCUGUUGGUAGAAAAGAAACCCUCCGCACAACAUUAUAGGGGUCGCAUGUCCGGAAAUUACCACGCAUGUGAUAACCGCCUGCUUAGCCUCAAACUAGCAUCUUCCUAUACCCGUUUUACAGUCAUAAUUACUAAGCCAUCACUUACUCUCCCUGAGUUUGAACUCGCCAACCACAGAUGAAAAUCUAUUUCGCUCCACAAUUAAACAACAUGAAAGAUCCUUUAAUGCAUUCAUACUUGAGAUUAUACAUCAGAUAAAGAUAGACACCAAGUACCUAAUAGCCCAUUUUUCAUCACAAGGAAACACUUCUCGUCACAUUCAAACCAUCUUAACUCAUCCGGCAAUCAUGUCAUACUUAUCAUAUAGUCAUUUAACUGCUCACUAAACCGUAAUUCCACUCAUAGGAACAUUGCUGGACAUAUAAGUCCAAAAGCACAAGUUCUCAAAACUCAAACUACUGACCCUAAGCUACAGUCCAAAUCUGGCCUCAAGUUCUCUAGACUAGCCCAUCACAAAAACAUAAAAAAACAUAUCUCGUACCUCGUUCAUAGAAUCACAAGUUGUCGAUUCACAACUAAUCGUUCACAUACGCAUAGACGUGAGUGGAGAAUGAAUUCAAAUUGGUAAGCUUCAAGCCAAAUCAAUGGCGCACAAAAAGCAAAAAAAGUUGGGAAGUUUAUCCUAAAAUUCCUUGUAGCCUCUCGAAGAUAAGUAUGAACGUCAUCAUACUGAUAUGCAAAACUCUACUAGACUCUUGCUCAUGACUUGUAUAACCUAUGAACCUAGAGCUCUGAUACCACCUUGUUACGACCCAAAAUUCUACUAAUUGUGAUGGUACCUAACUUCACAUGUUAGGUAAGCCAAAUAACAACUGUUACACCUCCAUUUUACACACCUGAGAGGGGGUUUAAGGGAGUUUUUCUAAUUUAAAUGAUGAUAGAAACAAGAUUUAUUUAUUUAUUCAGAGAGCCACUUGGAAUAAUUUAAAAUCCCGAAUUGAGGAAAGCUUUACUCUAAUUAUGGUCUGUGAACACAGAAAUCCAGGUAAGGAAUUCUGUUAAUCCGGGAGAAGGUGUUAGGCAUUCCCGGGUUUCGUGGUUUUAGCAUGGUCGAUAAACUACUAAUAUUGGUCUUAUUUCUGAUUAAUCACAUAUUUUAUACCUAUUGUGCAUUCUUAACCUUCUAAUCUCUUUUAAUGUUUUUAGGAAAAUUCAUGAUUAUUUUUGAAAACACAUUAUAAACUAACCUAUAUGAAAUACACUCACGGUUCACAAAACAUUUAUUUUAUUUAGCAUCAUUGAAAACUAAAGUCGGGUCACAUGAAAUGUACACCGAAUUUAUAACAUAUUUAUCUUAUUAUUAUUAUUCAAAAUCAUAGAAGGGUCACAUGAAAUGCACACCCGAGCCCCUUUAAUCUAAUUUGACAUAGUUCAGUAGAAGAAUAGCAACCUAAUUUCUUUACAGUGACAAAAUUAUGUUCACCUAUAACCAAUUCGGAUCGCAUGCGAGUCGAUAACUACAUGUCCAACUCAAAAAAUGGAGACAAUAACCAAACAAAUCAUAGAACCAAAUCACCAAACAACGGAUUAACAUUUAGCUAGAAUAAAAUGAGUAGAGGAUUGAAGAGUUGAACCUCAAUGAGUACGAGGACCAUUUCAACGUGAAUUAGAUAUGAGUUGAACUUAACCAUUGAACUCCAAAGAAUUACCACGAGCCGACAAACCCAAGCACACUCCGAUUCAGAAUUCCAACACAAACUUAAAUUUUUUUAAAAAUCAAGCAGAGACAUAAACAACCAAAUUUGAAGAUGAAAUUUCAGUCAACUGAUAUGCUAAAAAAAUGAAACACAAUUGUUGAAGGAGAAUCAAGCUGCGAAAUCCAGUGACAGACAAACGAUGGAAUAUGAGCUUCAAAGAACUUGGUAGAAAGCAAUGAUCCAAACCAAAUUAACUUGUAUAACACAAGAUCCCUUGAAAGAAUUCAUUAAUCUAAUAGUGGAAAGAAAUCAGAAACACAACCUUUGAUUCUGUAAUGCAACGAGAAAGAACAAGAAAGCCGAAGAACAGAAUUUUCGACGAGAACUAAAACCUAGAACCUUGAACUUUUCUCUUCUCAUUUGCCACCCGUCCUCGUUUCUGGGCGUGUGAGUGACUACGAGUGUCUGGUUUGGUGAGAGAGAGAGGUCGACACUAACCUUGGUUCUUUUAGAGAGGAGUUCCUGCUUUAGGUAUGCCGUCAAUUGUGGAGAAGAUCCAAUUCAGAGGGUCUUUCCGCAUGAAUAAGGUCUAACGGCCGAUGCUUUAGCUUUUUCUUUAUUGUGUAUCGAUCCCAUUUUUUGUGAAGAAGAAGGUGUUAGGGAGGGGGUCUCUCCUAUGUUGCGGCUAAUCUCUUAAGGGUGUAGGUUUAGGCUUUUGUUUUCUUAUGUCAAGAACAGCUGAUGGGAGUUUUAGGGAUCUAGGAUAGUAUAGGUCUAGGUCUAUUUUUUGUUAUAUACAAAGGGUUUUUAGGUUAAGGGGGUAUGUGUUUGGUAUUAUUGAACUUUAAAAUUUAGACAAAGACUUAAAAAAAAAUAGACUACACGAUUAGAAUGGGAUAACCAACCCAAAACUAACUCUUCCUUCUAAAUAUAUAAUUUAUAAUAUAAACAUAUAAAACUAAUCUUAAUUUAUCAAACUAAUCUAUAUUAAUACAUAAAAUUAUUAAUGUGUUUUCAAGAUUAUAUAAAAAUAAAAAUAAGGUACUAAUUUUUUGUAUAUUUUUUCAUUUUAUGAAAGGUACAUAAAACAAAAUACUUUUUUGUAAAAUUCAUUUUGUGAAUAAAUAAAGUAAAAGAGUCAAAUUAGUUGAAAUAACUAUAUUAGACCUAAACUAAGUAUUUAAAUGCUAAAAUAUAAUAACUCUUGGGGAGGGUAAAAUAUUAUAUGUCUACAGUUGCCCCUCUUUGACUGAAAAUACAAAUUAUUUUUAGACAAAGAACGACUAGACAAGUUUUUUUGACCCGACCCUUAUUUAGGGAGACUAAAAACUAAGAGAACGGAGAAUGUGGCCGAGCCCUGGUAUUUGAGCUGCCCAUAUAUCCUUGGCUAUAAAUAAAUAAGGCCACGUGUGUUUAGAAGUGAAUGAGGUGAUGGAGUACUGAGAUUGAGAGCUGACCGAGUUUCCAUCGAGGUUCUGGUCCGCGGUCCCGUUAUUACAUCAAAAAUAAAAAUUGGGAAAAACUAACUAAGCCUAUCAGCUACGAGUUAUAAGAUUCCUAUCUACGAGUCUUCUGAAGCUUGAUCUUGAGUCUUGGUUGGUUCUUUGUGCGGACCCUGAUCUGAAUCUUGGUACUUGUGUGGCGACCGAAAGGGUCAUCACCUUUUUUAAUCAAUUAUGUAAUUUCGAGACCUUGAAAACCUUAUUUAGAGCCUCUUUGAUUUGCGUGCGCAAUCCGGGCGCGUAACCAAAAAGUUUAAAUAUGAAUUUUAUUGAAAAAUGCUAAGUUUUGAUGUUAAAAUUAAUAAAUUUGACUUCGGUAAACAUUUUGGGUAAACAGAGAUAGACCCGUAAUUCGACGGUACCGGAGGGUCCGUAGGAAAAUUGGGAAUCAAAUUCCAAGGUCCCAAGCCCGAGAAAUGAAUUUUUGAGUGAAAUUGUUUUCUAAAAUUGUUUAAGAGAAUUUGAAAUGAAAACUGAUUAGAAACGGUAGAAUCGGGCCCGUAUUUUGGUCUCGGCGCCUAGUACAUGCCUUUAUAUAUGACUUGAGUCAUUCUUAUGAAAUUUGCUUAAAAACAGACGUCAUUUGACAUGAUCCAGACCUUAAUUGGAAAAUUUUAUGUUUAAAGAAGUUUUGAGAAAUUUCAGUGAUAUUGAGAUUAAAUUCUAUGUUCGAGAUGUUAUUAUGGUGAUUUAAUUCUACGAAUAUGUUCGUAGAAUGUUUUUGGAGUUGGAUGUAUAUUUGGGAUCAGAGUUUCGAGGUCUCGGGUGAGUUUCGGGUAGAUUCCGGGAUAACUUAGGCCUAGAAAUCAGAUGUUGCAGGUUUAUGAAGUUGCAAGCCUCUGAACCCUCUUGCGCGAUCCGCGAGAAAUUGUGUGCGACUGCGGAGGGGCCAACGGGGCCGCGGUCACCUUUGUGCGAUCUGAGGUAGAGGCUGUGCGGCUACAGUCACUUUUGUUUGGUCCACAUAGGGUGUUGAACUGCAGGUCUUCAGGUAAGCCUGUGCGGCCGCAGUCCAUUUAGUGCAGUUUGGUAAAAACCUUGGGGUUUGACCACGCGGGCCCGGGGAAAAUUUUUGACUUUUCUGGUAAAACUUUGGAAAACUCAUUUUUUAUGCAUUGGGUGUAACUCAUGUUCCAUGAUGUAAAUAAGUGAAUUAUGAUUAGAUAAAAAUGAAAUGGCGGCAGAAUCGAGGGGUAAGGAUAUACUUGAGACUUGAGUAGUGUUCAAGGCAUUGCGGUAAGUGCUCGGUCUAACCUUAGCUUGAGGGAUUAGGAGUUGAGUCAUAUGUGCUAUUUGCUACUUGUUGAGUACGAAGUAUAAGAAUGGUGAAAUAUAUCUAUACGUUGGUGUCAAGCAUGACCGUGAGUCUUAAAUUGAAAGUUGUUGUAUUCUUAAAUGACAUCACGUAUUCCUUAACUAAAGAUCUACCAUAUCGAUCAAUGAUUUGUUUAUCCUCGUAGAUCCUAUUUUUAUUGAGCAUCUUCAUUAAUCAAAUUGAGUUAAGGUUGGCUCUAGUUAAUUCUCCCCUGUCCGGAUGAUUAUUUCUAUAUUGUUUUCCUGCUUUAUUCCCGGAACGAGAUUUCUUAAGAUUAUGUGAUAUGAUGAAAUAGGAUGGGGUGGUACACCUACCACGAGAUAUGUGGAAGUGGGAUUGGGUGGUACACCUACCACGAGAUAUGAUGAAAUGGGAUGGACUGGCAUGCCUACCACGAGAUAUGAUGAAAUAAGAACGUACGGUAUGCCUACCACGAGAUAUGAUGAAAUAAGAGUGGGUGGUACACCUUCCACGAGAUAUGAUUAAAUGAGAUUGGGUGGUACGCCUACAACAAGAUAUGAUGAAAUGGGAUGGGGUGGUACGCCUACCACGAGAUAUGAUGAAAUAGGAGCGGGUGGUACGCCUACCACGAGAUAUGAUGAAAUGGGAGCGGGUGGUACGCCUACAACGAGAUAUGAUGAAAUGGGACCGGGUGGUACGCCUACAACGAGAUAUAAUGAAAUGGGAGCGGGUGGUACGCCUACCACGAGAUAUGAGAAAUGGGAUUGGGUUGCACGCCUGCAACAAGAUUGAAACUGAAAGUGAAAGUUGUCUUUACUUCUCUUUAUCCAUGAUAGAAGUUAAAUUACAGUUUUCCUUAUUGUUCUUGAUAUUCUGUUUAUGUGCCACCCCCAUAGCUUGUUCCCCUUCCUCAACUUUAAGUGCUUAUUGCUUGUUUACUUCUCCACCAUAUAUUAUAUAACUGCACAGAUUUAUCUAGAGUGUAGUCCUAGCCUCGUCACUACCUUGCGGGGGUUAGUCCAGAAACUUACCAGCACACGGGGUCGGUUGUGCUGAUGCUACACUCUACACUUAUGUGCAGAUACCAGAGCAUUGUUCGGGUAGCAGCAUUAGUUCAGGAGCUAUGCUUCGGUCCACUGAGACUCCAAUGUAGCCUUGCAGGAUUUCGCAAGCCCGACGUCUCCUCUAUCUUAUGUUUCAAUCUAUUAUCUCAUGUAUUCGAGAUAAACAAUGUUUUAUUUCUUUCAAGCGGUUGUAUUUACCACUCUUAGUAGUCUAUGUAUGUUGUGGAGAAUUUUAUUGACCUCGCAUAUAACAUGGGGAAUCUGGUUAGCACCCAUAUUUAAGAAUAAAAGAACAAAGACUUGACUGGACGGUAUUCACGAGCAGCUAGGAAGAGAUGGGAGGGAAGUCCCCAACCUCAAAGGUUUCGGAUGACGUUCGGAUAUCAAAUCCACCUCGAAAGAAAACAAGUGAACUACAAAGAAAAAAGAAUGGAAAGGAAUUCCUUUGUUUGUAUUGGUAGCCACUUGCAGCUCGAUUUCACUUAGCGAUCUCGACUAAGUCACCUCACCAGAGAUAGGGUGAUUUCCUUCUUAAACCACCUAUUCUAAUAGAGGAUACCGUAUAGUGAAACGAAUCCUUCAUCCUUAUAAGUUCAACUCAUUCGGGAAUGUGACACCAGGUGCUGGGUAGAGACUUUUAUUGGCUUUCUAGACGUUUGAUUUUAUAUUCAUCUAUGACUUCCACUAAUUUUAAUUUCUGUUGUUCUUCAAAUGCUUAUUCAUUGCUAACAUAAUUGGUUUACAAUGAACUAAAAUGAAAAAGGGGUAAUGACUUCCAAGGAUUAUGGUUUGCGUAGAUUUCACGAGUAGGCACCAUCAGGACUCCCGAGAGUGGGAACUCCAGGUCGUGACAAGUUGGUAUUAGAGCUCUAGGUUGCAUAGGUAUUACAACUCACAGACAAGCUCGGUAGAGUCUGAGGGAUCGAUAUAGAGACGUCUGUAUUUAUCCUCCAGAGUCUACGUAGUUAGGAAAAUUUCACACUUGUUCUUUCCUGUCGUGCGGAUUUGUUUCUCAAUGCUAAUUGGAUUUAUACUCUAUUGUUUUGCAAAUGGCGAGAACAUGUGCUUCCUUAUCUAUCGUUCAGCAGUAUGAGCCCUUAGCAAUAGCUUCCACUAGGGGCAGAGGGGGAGGCCAAGGUCGUGCUAGAGGCCGAGGUAGGGGCAGAGCUCAGCCUUGAGCAGCAGCACUAGUGGCGGAGCCUCAGGUUAAUUUUGAGGAGGAGGUUCCGGACCCAACAGUUCCAGUGGGGGCAACUCAAGUCCCAGAUGGGUUUAAUUGUACCCCAGUUCUUCAGGGUGCUCUGGUCCGAUUGGUGGGCCUCAUGGACAGUGUCACCCAAGUAGGUUUUCUUCAUAUAGUACCGGUCAUUUCUCAGGUAGGAGGAGGGGCUCAGACUCCUGCUACUCGUACUCUAGAGUAGGUCACUCCUCAGAUUCAGACUCCAGCAGUUUAGUCAGUUGGAGCAGUUCAGCCGGGUGUGGUGGUUCAGACCGACGAUGGAGCAGCAAUGUCUGCCGAUGCUUUGUAGAGGCUAGAUAGGUUCACCAAGCUCUUCACUACUACGUUCAAUGGUGCUUCUUCUGAGGAUCCCCAUGAUUUCCUAUUUAGGUACUACGAGGUUCUUAGGAACAUGGGCAUUGUUGAGACCAAUGGGGUCGAUUUUGGUAUAUUCCGCUUGUCAGGAUCUGCCAAGACUUUUUAGAGGGAUUAUUGCUUAGCUAGACCAUCUGGAUCUCCAUGUUUGACUUGGGAGUAGUUUACAAUGUUAUUUCUGAAGGAGUUUCUCCCCCUGACUCAGAGAUAGGCCUAUUGGAGGCAGUAUGAGCGCCUCUAGUAGGGUUCCAUGACGGUCAUCCAGUAUGAGACCAAGUUCAUUGACUUAGCUCGCCAUGCUCAUGUUAUACUUCCCAUUCAGAGGGAGAGAGUGAGAUAGUUUAUUGAUGGACUCAUCCAGCCGUUUUGUCUCCAAAUGGAUAGAGAGGUUAGGAGUGAGAUCACUUUUCAGGAGCCGGCCAAUGUAGCCUACAGAGUUGAGACGGUCAAGGGUCAGACAAGAGGCCUCGUCAUUCAGGCAGAUUUUUUUUUAAAAGUUUAACAGUUAGUUUUUAUUGAUAUCAAAAAAAUUACAAUGAAGAGUAUAUAGUAGUAGUAUGGACUAACCACUACUUCCGGUAUGAACACCUACAAAUACAUGAAUUUGCAACCUAAAGCUAAGGGUAAUGGUUAAGUUGUCGUUUUUUUUUAAGUUUAACAGUUAGCUUUCAUUGAUAUCAAAAAAUUACAAAGAAGAGUAUAUAGUAGUAGUACGGACUAACCACUACUACCAGUAUGAACACCUACAAAUACAUGAAUUUGCAAUCUAAUUCUAAGGGUAAUGGUUAAGUUGUCGUAUUCCAGCUUGCCAAAGGUUACAGUUUCUGCUGCGAAUAUGAAGAAGCAAUGCAGCCUCGCGACAUAACUGGUUCUCCUCGAAUGCUCCAUUCAAAUCUAAUAUAGUUUAUGUUUCUCCAAAUCAAUGUAACAGUGGUUACAAAGGCAGAAGCAGCAAAAACCUUGUGCCAAAGUUUUCUCAUAGCUUGACAGCAUAUCCAUUGGAGUUCAGCUUCCCAGCUCCCAAUUGUUCUGCUAUGGCCUGUCCAGCAGCACAUUCUAUGCCACAGUCGAUUAGUGACUGGGCAUUCAAAAAACAAAUGAGCAAAAUCUUCUUCAUGUUGCUUACAGAAUACACAAUUCAUAGACACCUGCACACCAAUUUUCUGUAAUCUGUCGACAGUAGGCAGUCGAUGUUGAGCAGCAAGCCAAGCAGUGAAUUUGUGUCGAGGAAGGACAUUAGAGAUCAACAGCAGAUUCUUCCAUUCCACCUUAGGAAAGAUAGGGAGCAUUAAAUGGUAAAGUUUCUGAAUAUGGAAUUUGCCUAGCCUGCACAACCCAUCCAGUCUAAGUGAGAGUCACCUUGCAAUUGUUGAUUAUCCAGAAUUGGAUUUCUGCAGUCCAAUAUCUUCCUAACAACCCAAGAUGCUAUCUUGGGAAUAGGCAUUGUAGCAAUGUCAUGGUUCUUACCAUAAUAGUAGUGUAUCCAUUUGAUCCACAAACAAUUUUUUUUCCUUGCCAAAUCCCAAAGGAGCUUAGUGAUAGCUGCCUUAUUCCAUAUAUGCAUGUCUAUGAUGUUGAGACCUCCAGCAGUGACUGGUCUACAGACCCUUUCCCAGGCUACCAGAGCUCUUAUAGUAAUUGUUGCACUUCUAGUCCACAAAUAUGAUCUGCAAACAGCUUCAAUGAUCUUCACAUUAGAAAAGAUCAAUUGACAUCUUCCUGCAUAAGAUAGUAAUUUGGCAGACCAGCAAGUGAUUUUAUCAGUGAUCCUCUCAAUCAGUGGAAAGUAAUGGUGAAUGGAAAGCUUCUUUGAGUGAAGAGGUAUCCCUAAAUAUUUGAAUGGUAGCUCACCCUCAAUGAAGCCUAGAGACUCUAAUAUGACUUCUUUGACAUUCUGAUGAACACCAGCCAGAUAAACAGCACACUUAGUAUUAUUAGCAUAUAGUCCAGAAGCUACAGAGAAUGUAAGGAAAGCAUCAUGCAGAAUCUGGAUAGAAACACUCUUGGUGUUGUUUGCAGACAGCCCAGAAGAUGCAGAGAAUGAAAGGAACGCACCAUGCAGAAUCUUGAUAGAUAUAAUAUCAGCUCGACAUAAUAGGAGAAGAUCAUCAGCAAAACAGAUAUGGGCACAGUUCAGCUUCCUGCAUUUUGGAUGGAAGUUGAAAUCUCCAUUUCUGUGUUACUGAGCCAGCAGCCUAUUUAAGUAUUUCAUAGCCAGAACAAACAAAUAAGGUGACAAGGGAUCUCCUUGUCGAAUACCCCUUCUAGCACCAAAUGUCUUAGUGAGACCACCCUUCAACACUAGUGAGUACGUCACAGAAGUGACACAAGCCAUUGUGCAAUUAACAAAUUUUGCUGGAAAUCCAAGAUCAAUAAGUAGUUGUCUGAGGAAGCUCCAUUCAAGAGUGUCAUAUGUCUUCCUCAAAUCCACCUUCAUAACACAUCUUGGAGACACAUCUUUCCUGGAAUAACCCUUGAAAAUUUCAUGGCUAAGCAAAAUAUUAUCAAUGAUGCUCCUCCCUUCAAUAAAGGGUGACUGGGCUUUUCCAACAAGAUCACCAAUAACAGAUUUCAGUCUCCUAGUGAUGACUUUGGAUAUAAUCUUAUAGACAGUAGCGGAGCAGGCAACAGGUCUAUAAUCUUUCACUAUUUUAGGAAUUUUAGGCACAAAAGCAAUAGCUGCAAUAGGUCUAUAAUCUUUCACUAUUUUAGGAGUUUUAACUUUAGGCACAAGAGCAAUAGCAGUAGUACUGACCAUGUGAGGCAGUGUAAUAGAAAAGAAGUCCUUUGUAGCAGUUGCCAGUAAAGAACUCCAUAGGGAAUCCAUCUACACCUGGUGCUUUGUCUUUAGGCAUGUCCUUAACAGCUGUAGUGAUUUCCUCCAUAGUAACAUCCUGAAUAAGUGACCUUUGCUGUGAUAAGGUCAGACAGUGUCCUUCCUUAACAAUAGCAGUAUUAAUGCAAGGCAAUUCAUUAAACAAUUGCUCUGAAAAUGGAUUAUGUAUCAACUGAUUCUGUAUGAUAUCCAAUGAUUCCCUAGCCUGAAAUAGCCUCUGUUUGUAGGAGGCCAAAUGGAUUUUCAGUUCUUUUAAGUGCUGCUUCAAGAUCUUCAAUUUAUACCAAAUCUGUUGCAGAGGUGAUCCUUCACACUGCUGACUCCAUACUUGAUGCAAAAUAGAAGAAAAUUGGGGAUUCUCCAUAAUAGCAUAAUAGAAUCUGAAUGGUUUAGGAUGCAAUAGUUUUUGACUCCCAAACUGUAUGAGAAUAGGAGAGUGGUCAGAGACUGAGGGAUUCAUAAAAUCAGCUUCUAGAUGCCCAUAUUGCUGAAGCCACUGAAAAUUACCCAGUGCCCAAUUGAUUUUGCUAUAGACAUGCUUAUUAGUCCAUGAAUACUUCCAACCUUUAGAUCAAAGGGAGGUCAAUUGGAGAUCAGAAAUGACCUCUUUAAACUCUCUAACUUCAAUAUCAGUAACAGGAGAACCAAUCCUAUCAUCAGAGCAUAGGAUAGAAUUAAAAUCACCACUUAACAACCAUGCAUCUUGAUUGGGAACAUUUACUGAUCUUAGAUCGUUCCACAGCUGUUUCCUUAGGACUGCAGAAUUGUGAGCAUAAAUGACUUUCAUAAAUGACACUAAAUGACAUUCAGGCAGAUUUAGCGGUACCUUAUGUGGAGGUAGAUAUUCGUGUUGUAGAGGCCAUCAUCCUAGGCCAUUUUAGUGAGCUCUUCAGGUUUCUUACGGUGCUUCAGGUAGCCGUGGUUCUCAAAUGCAGUAUCCCGAUCAACAGUCCUUUAGUGUACCACCAACACCCAUCAGUGCACCACCAUUUCGGAAUUUCCAGGGUCGUCAGCCACAUGCUUAUUUUACUUGUGGUGACACGGGACACAUUGCUAGGCAUUGCCCUCGAGCUUAGAGCAGUUCUCCGCACCAGGGUUCUCGUGCUAUGUACCGAUACCAGAUGUUCUGCAGCCCUCCCAGCUAGCUAGAGGUGGGGGUAGAGUUUCUAGAGGUAGAGGUAGAGGUCAUAGAAGUGGAUUUCAGGACAUUAGAGGUGGAGGCCAACCAGAAACAGGCCAUCCUAGAGAGGUAGAUUAGAGUGGUGGGGCCCAGCCCCGAUGUUAUGCUCUUCAGGCCAGGCCCGAGGCAGAGCCUUCAGAUGCAGUGGUUACAGGUACGGUUCUGGUUUGUGAUAGAGGUUCUCCAGGGUUGUUUGAUCUAGGGUCUACGUAUUUGUAUGUGUCAUCUUAUUUUUCCCCGUACUUGGUCUUGCCUAGUGAUACAUUGGGUGUUGUUGUUUAUGUGUCUACACCGGCGAGUGAUUCUAUUAAGGUUGAUCGAGUCCAUUGUUCUUAUAUUGUGGUGAUUGGGGGUUUUGAUACUCGUGUAGAUUUGUUACUUUUAGACAUGAUUGACUUCGAUAUCAUAUUGGGGAUGGAUUGGCUAUCACCUUACCUCGCUAUCUUGUAUUGCCAUGCCAAGACUGUGACCUUAGCUUGACCAAGUAUGCCUCGUUUAGAAUAGAGAGAGACUCCAGGUUAUUCUACUUGUAGUGUUAUCUCUUAUGUGAAGGCUCGUUAUAUGGUCGAUAAGGGGUGUUUGGCCUAUUUGGCAUAUGUUCGUUACUCUAGUGCCGAGGUCCCUUCUAUUGAUUCUACGCCCGUUGCUCAUGAGUUCCCUGAUAUUUUUCCUUUAGACCUGCUGGGUAUGCUGCCCGACAGGGAUAUCGACUUUUGCAUUAAUGUGGCCCCUGGACUCAGCCCAUUUCUAUCCCACCAUAUUGUAUGGCCCGACAUAGUUGAAAUAAUCAAAGGGACUUGCUUGAGAAGGGUUUCAUUAGACUUAGUGUAUCGCCUUGGGAUGCACCCGUGUUUUUCAUUAAGAAGAAGGAUGGUUCGAUGAGAAUUUGAUGAUUAUUGGAAGCUGAACAAGGUAACAAUAAAGAAUAAGUAUCCACUGCCAAGGAUUGAUGAUUUUUUCGAUCAUAUUUAGGGUGCCAAGGUAUUUUCAAAGAUUGACUUGAGAUCUGGCUACCAUCAGUUGAGGAUUAGGGUAUCCACUGUCCCUAAGACAACAUUCUGCAAUCGGUACGGGUAUUUUGAGUUCUUGGUUAUGUCAUUCGUAUUGACAAAUGGCCUAGCAGCUUUUAUGGAUUUGAUGAACUGAGUUUUCAUGCCUUAUUUAGACUCGUUCGUGAUAGUCUUCAUUGAUGAUAUUUUGAUAUAUUCUCGCAGUCCGGAGGAGCAGAAGCAGCGUCUCAGGGUGAUUCUUCAGACUUUGAGGGAUUGUGAUCUAUAUGCUAAGUUUUUGAAGUGUGACUUAUGGUUGAGUUCAGUUGCAUUUAUGGGUCAUGUUGUACAAGCAGAUGGUAUUCAAGUGGACCCAAAGAAAAUUGUGGCAGUCAAGAACUAGCCUAGACCAGUAUCAGCUACAGAGAUUCGGAGUUUCUUGGGGUUGCCAGGCUACUAUUGUCGCUUUGUGGAGGGGUUCAAAUCUAUCGCAACCUCGAUGACCAGGUUGACCCAGAAGGGUGUCUAGUUCUGAUGGUCGGACGAGUGUGAGGCGAGCUUUCAGAGGUUACAUCUCUAACUAUGGCACCGAUACUGGUCUUAUAUAGUUUAUUGUGAUGCUUCCUAUGCUGUGUUUGGUGCGGUGUUGAUGCGUGAUGGCAAGGUCAUUGCCUAUGAUUCGCGAAAAUUGAAGAUUCAUGAGAAGAACUAUCCCGUUCAUGACCUAGAGUUGGCAGCCAUUGUCUUCGCGUUGAAGAUUUGGCGGCACUAUCUGUAUGGCAUGGCCUAUGAGGUGUUCACGGAUCACAAGAGUCUUCAGUAUUUGUUUAAGCAAAAGGAGUUGAAUUUGAGGCAGAGGAGGUUGUUAGAGUUGUUGAAGGAUUAUUAUAUCACCAUCUUAUAUCACAUGGGGAAGGCCAAUGUGGUGGCCGAUGCCUUGAGUAGAAAGUUAGCCUGUAUGGGAAGUCUUGCUUAUAUUCCAGUCGGUGAAAGGCAACUUGCUUUGGAUGUUCAGGCUUUAGCCAAUCGAUUUGUGAGAGUGGAUGUUUCUGAGCUCAGUCAUGUGUUAGCUUGCACGGUCGCUCAUUCUUCAUUAUUGGAGCGUAUCCUUGAUCAGCAGCAUAUUGAUCCUCAUUUGUGUGUCUUUAGGGACACGGUGCAGCGCAAAAGUUCCAAGAAUGUUCUCUUAGGUGAUGAUGGAGUUUAGAGAUUGCAGGGUCGAGUUUGUGUGCCUAAUGUGGAUGGGCUUCGAUAGUUGAUUUUAGAGGAGGCCCAUAGUUCCCGGUAUUCUAUUCAUCCUGGCGCUACGAAGAUGUAUCAGGAUUUUCGGCAACAUUACCGGUGGCGUAGAGUGAAGAAGGAUGUUGUUGAAUAUGUAGCUCAGUGUUUGAAUUGUCAGCAGGUUAAGUAUGAGCAUCAGAGGCCUGAUGGAUUGUUUCAGAGGAUUGAGCUUCCCGAGUGGAAGUGGGAGCGGAUCACUAUAGACUUUGUUACUAGACUUUCCCUGACUCGAAAGAAGUCCGACGCAGUUUGGGUCAUUUUUGAUAGGCUGGCGAAGUUAGCGCAUUUCAUUCCCGUGGUAGUCUCUAUUCAUCCGAGAGGUUAGUUGAGAUCUAUAUUCGGGAGAUUGUUUGCCUUCAUGGUGUGCUCGUAUAUAUCCUUUCAGAUCGGUGUAUGCAGUUUACCUCGCGCUUCUAGAGAGCAGUUCAACGAGAACUGGGUACAGGAGCUGAGUUGAGCACAAUAUUUCAUCCCCAAAUGGACAAUCAGUCUGUGCGAACUAUUCAGAUUUUGGAGGAUAUGCUCCGAGCUAUUGUCAUUGACUUUGGAGGUUCAAGGGAUCAAUUUUUGCUUUUAGUAGAGUUUUCCUACAACAACAACUACCAGUCGAGUAUCAAGAUGGCUCCUUUUGAGCCUUUAUAUGGUAGGCAGUGUUGAUCUCCGGUUGGAUGGUUUGAUCCGGGAGAGGCUCGGUUGUUGGGUACGGAUCUGGUUCUCGAGGCCUUAGACAAGGUCAGGAUCAUUUAGGAUAGGCUUCGUGCAGCUCAGUCCAUGCAAAAAGCUAUGCAGACCGCAAGGUUCGAGAUGUGGAUUUUAUGGUUGGUGAGCAGGUGUUGCUCCGGAUGUCGCCUAUAAAGGGCGUGAUGAGAUUUGGGAAGAACGACAAGCUUAGCCUUCGGUUCAUUGGUCCAUUUGAGAUUGUUGAUCGAGUGGAAGAGGUGGCUUAUAGACUUGCAUUCCACCGAGAUUUUCAGCCUUGCAUCCAGUGUUUCAUGUGUCCAUGCUCCAGAAAUAUCACAGCAAUCCAUCGCACGUGUUAGAUUUUAGCAUUGUUAGUUAGACAAGGACUUGUCUUAUGAGGAGAAGCUGGUAGCUAUUCUAGAACAGCAGGUUCGCCAGUUGAGAUCCAAGAGUUUCCAUUCUGUUCGUGUUCAGUGGAGAGGUCAGCCUUCUAAGGCUAUCUACCUCGGAGUGCGAGUCUGAUAUGCGGAGUUGUUAUCCCCAUCUUUUCCCCGACUCAGGUACUUCCAUCUUCUGUCCAUUCGAGGACGAACGGUUGUUCUAGAGGUAGAGGAUGUGACGACCUAAAGGGUUGAUCACCUAUUUUUAAUCAAUCCUGUACAUCUGAGGCCUUAAAUACCUCAUUUAGAGUUGCCUCGAUUUGUGUGCGUAGUUUGGGCGCGUAGCCAAAAAGUUUAAAUAUGAAAUUUUGUGAAAAAUGCUAAGUUUUGUUGUUAAAAUUAAUAAAUUUGACUUUGGUAAUCCUUACGAGUAAACGGACCCGGACCCAUGAUUCGACAGUUCCAGAGGGUCCGAAGGAAAAUAUGCGACUUAGGCGUAUGCCCGAAAUCAAAUUCUGAGGUCCCAAGCCCGAGAAAUGAAUUUUUAAGUGAAAUUAUUUACGAGAAUAUAAAAUGAAAACUGAUUAGAAAACGAUUGUAUCGGGCCCGUAUUUUUGUUUCGGCACUUGGUACAUGCCAUAUAUAUGACUUGAGUCAUUCUCUGCGAAAUUUGGUUAAAACUAGACGUCGUUUGACGUGAUCCGGACCUUAAUUGGAAAAUUUGAUGUUUAAAGAAGUUCUGAGAAAUUUCAAUGAUCAAGGUUUAAUUCGAUGUUCAUGAUGUAUUUUGGUGAUUUAUUUACACGAAUAUGUUCGUAGAAUGUUUUUGAAGUUUGAUGUAUAUUUGGAUUGGAGUUUCGAGGGCUCGGCUAUGUUUCGUGUAGGUUUCGGGAUGCCUUAGGCCUAGAUAUCUAUUGUUGCAGGUUCAGGAAGUUGCGAGCCACUGAACUCUCUUGUGCGGUCCAUGAGAAAUUGUGUGCGACCGCGUAGGGGCCAGCGCGGCCGCGGUCGCCUGUGUGCGGUCUGCGGUGGAGGCUGUUCGGCCGCAGUCGCUUUUGUGUGGUCCGCACGGGGCAUUGAACUUCAGGUCUUCAGGUAAGCCUGUGCGGCCGCGGUCCAUUUAGUGCGGUCCGCACAAGGGGUCUGCCAGGGGUAUAAAUAGACAGUAUUUUCAGUUAUUUUUCAUUUUUCUAAACCAUAAAAACAUAAGAGCCAAUUUUUGAAGCAACCUUUCUUCUCCAAAUAAAUUGUAAGUCAUUUGUAACUAGUUUUCUGUAAUCAUUAACAUCCUUUAACCUGAUUUCAACUUGAAAUCGAAGAUUUUCAUGGGGAAUUGGGUGUUUUGGAUAGAACUUAGUUUUUUCAAGAAUUAGGGAUUUGGACCUCAAUUUGAGGUCCAAUUUCAAAACAAAUUGCAUAUUUGAGUUCAUGGGGAAAUGGGUAAAUAGCUUUUGGUUCGAACCUUGGGUUUUGACCACGUGGGUUUGGGGACGUUUUUGACUUUUUAGGUAACACUUUGGAAAAUUCAUUUUUCAUGCAUUGGGGUUGACUCAUUUAGUGUUCAUGGAUGUAAAUAAGUGAAUUGCGAUUAGAUACAAAUGAAUUGGUAGUGGAAUCGAGGGGAAAGGCUAUAAUUGAGACUUGAGUAGUGUUCAAGGCAUUGAGGUAAGUGUUUGGUCUAUCCUUAUCUUGAGGGAGUAGGAGUUGAGUCAUAUGUGCUAUUUUCUCCUUGUUGAGUACGACGUAUGUGCAUUGUGACGAGUAUCUAUACGUUUGUGCCAAUCAUGAUCGUGAGUCUUAAAUUGAAAAUUAUUGUAUUCUUAAAUGGUAUCACUUAUACCUUAAUUAAUGAUCUACAAUAUCGAGUAAAAAUUUGUUUAUCCACGUAGAUCCUAUUUAUGAUUGAACAUCUUCAUUAAUAAAACUGAGGUAAGGUUUUAUUAUAGUUGAUUCUCCCUUGCCGGGAGGAUUGUCUCUAUAUUGUUGUUCCCUUGCGGGGAAGUUAUUAUAUUAAUUUAGUCCUUGGCUGGGAUUUCUUGUGAUUAUGUGAUAUGAUGAAAUUGGAUUGGGUGGUACGCCUACCACGAGAUAUGACAAAAUGAGAUCGGGAGGUACGCCUACCAUGGGAUAUGAUAAAAUGGGAUCGAGUUGUACGCCUACCACGAGAUAUGAUGAAAUGGGAUCGGGUGGUAUGCCUACUACGAGAUUUGAUGAAAAGGAAUCGGGUGGUACGCCUACCACAAGAUAUGAUGAAAUGGGAGCGGGUGGUUUGCCUACCACGAGAUAUGAUGAAAUAGAAGCGAGUGGUAUGCCUACAACGAGAUAUGAUGAAAUGAGAGUGGGUGGUACGCUUGCCACGAGAUAUGAGAAAUGGGAUCGGGUUGCACGCAUGCAGCAAGAUUGAAACUUAAAGUGAAAGUUGUCUUUACCUCUUUUUAUGCGUGUUAGAAGUGAAAUUACAGUUUUCUUUAUUGUUCUUGAUAUUCUGUUUAUCUGCCACCCCUAAAGCGUGUUCCCCUUCCCCAGCUGUAAGUGAAUAUUACUUGUUUUCUUUUCUGCCAUAUAUUAUAUAACUGCACAUGUUAAUCUAGAGUGUAGUCCUAGCCUCGUCACUACCUCGCUGGGGUUAGGCCAGAUACUUACCAACACAUGUGGUCGAUUUUUGUGAUGCUAUACUCUACGCUUAUGUGCAGAUACCGGAGCAGCGUUCAGGAAACAACAUUAGUUCAGGAGCUAAACUUUAGGUCACCAAGACUCCGAGGUAGCCUUGCAGGCAUCUACAGGCCUGGCGUCUUCUCAAUCUCAUGUUUCAUUCUGUUACCUCAUGUAUUCGAGAGAAACAAUGUUUUAUUUCUUUCAAGCGAUUGUAUUUAGCACUCUUAGUAAUCCGUGUAUGUUGGGAUACAAUGUGCUGGGUAGAGACUUGUAUUGGCUUUCUAUACGUUUUCUUUUAUAUUCAUCGAAGACUUCCGCUAAUUUUAAUUAUUGCUAUUCUUCAAAUGCUUAUUCAUUGCUAAAAUAAUUGGUUUAAAAUGAACUAAAAUUAAAAAGGGGUAAUUAUUUCCAAGGAUUAUGGAUUGCCUAGCUUCCACAAGUAGGCGCCAUCACAACUCUUGAGGGUGGGAACUCCGGGUCGUGACAACUUGUUUGCUGCAUGUGUUAGGUCUUUCUUCCACGACUUCUUCGAAUCAAGACCGGACAUGUAGUGCUCAUGAUUUCAGCCAUGUCUUGAGCAAUUCACAUCUUUCAUCUGCUUCUGCAUUUGGAUUCAUUUCCUUUUUUUUUUUACUUUUUGGAUCGAGACUUAUUUUUUGGUUAUCUCGGACCGUCGACUCGUAUUUUUGAGGCAAGCUUCCUCUACUUCUAACUUGACUUGUCUUUUGAAAUGACUUCCCUCAUUUUCCAGGUGGGGCACCUGCUAAAGACUUGAAACUUAACAUGACUCUGAAAUGAAUUCUAAAAUGAGAUCCCUUGCUCUUCAGGUGGGCCUGCUACUACAGCAAAAUACACAAAACAAAAGAAACUUUUCUGCCCCUGUUUGCACAGGAAGAUUUGUGAGUUGUUAGCAAAAACAUAAAUCACCUAUGCUGGUGAUGAAGAUGCAAUAAUGAUAGUAAAAUUAAUGACUUGAUUAGGAUGUGUGUCUCUUAAAAGUGAUUGAGCUUGCAGAAAGUAUAAACUAAGCUUGACUAUAGUAAAGACUAACCCUGUUCUCCAUGCGGGGCCCUUGAGUUCAAGGAAACUAAACAUUGAUAACUUAAUAAUGGCAAGAUUUGAAAAACUUCCCUUUAUCGGCUCUUCUCUUCUUUUAUUUUCUUUUUCUUUAUUUUUCUUUUUCUUUUUUUUUCUUUUUGUGGUUUUUUUAUUAUUUUUUAAUCACUUUCCUUGCACUGCUUUGUUCCUGUUUCACACAUAGUAAAAUUUGUCAGUUUUGAAAGUGGUGGUUGAUUUAUGACCUUGAGUUAUGGGCAGCUUGGGUUCUGCUUAAUCAGCUUCAGUUGAUUUCAUGAAACUUUUUCUCUGCAUCAACCCUAAUUGUUCCACACCCAGUACCUUUUUUAUUUGUGGCUCAAUCAGUCUUAUCCCGACUAGAGAUCUUUUUUUCGGUAAACUUUUUCUGAUAUCUUGAAUGACUCCCGCUUUUUGAGCAAUUUGUCAGUCAGAGACAAUUACCAUUUAUCUUUGCUUGUUCUAAGUAGGCUGACAAUAGUCUUUUGGGGGAGCCUUUGCAUGAAUUACAAGGUAUAUUGACAGUAACAACUAAAUGUACUAGCCAAAUUUACUUUAUGCAACUGAAAAAUCAGUAGCAGAUUUUGGAAUCUUUUCUUGCUUGUAUUGACAAGGACAAACUCAGAUUGAGGACACAAUAAUGCAAAGAAAUAAGUAUUAACAAGAAAUGCCCAUGUCAGAAGGACAAACGGAAGAGUUUUUUUUUCAAUAACUAGAAUUAAUGAUCAUGACAUGCAUUUUGGACUUAAAGACCUAAUCUAUCAAACUAAUCCAAUCUUCCAUUCUACCUUUCUUAUGACCUUUGAAGUCGGGGUUGUUUGUGCCAAUUGUUUGCAUCAACUUCAUGUCUCACUUUUCACUAGUGGUGCUUCGAAAGAUUUUCACCAACAAGUCUUUCUCAUUUGUUUAUCUCUUCUUACCGUCACCUUACAUUGCCCUUGAAGGUUUUCACUAGUAAGACUCUCAUUUUUCAAUUUUCCCUCCUCUCUUUUUUCAGUUGCUUUCUUGAGCAACUUGACAAUGUUCUAUAUCGUGUGACAACCAUUGCUCAUUGCAUGCUUCUCUUGUCAUUCUUAUAGGCAUAUCAGAAGGUCUUUAUUUGGAAGGAUUUUGGAUAGGGUUGGAAACAAAGGACGUCAUGAAGGCUCUAAACAAACUCAAAGUAAAGGGGCUUGUAAACUUACAACUCUUGGAAUCGACUCUUUCAAAAGUGAAAUAAUAUCUCUACUCUAGUUUCAAUUAUUCGGGAUUUUUUUGUUGCAUUUUUCUUUCUUUUUUUUUUUGGAAUUUUUAUUUGGUUGUACCGAACCGCGAGGCUUCCUACAUAUCCUUUUUAAGGAAUUAGGUCGAACGUAGUUCAAAAAUUUGACCUAACUAUUUUAAGCUUUCUUUCCUCUAUCUUUUUUCUAUUUUUUUCUAUUGUUUUCCCCCGCUUCUAUCUUAUGAGGGCAUGGACUUUCUACAGUUCUUUUCUUCUUCAUUUUUUUUCAUUUGAAUUUUCAAAGAAGUGCCCCAGUUUUUACACCCUUGGGAUAUGAAUUUUGUUUUUUGACUCUUGACUCUAAACUUGAUUCCAAAGAGGGUGGUCAAAGAAAAUAACACAUGCUCAAAAUGGGUAGCGAAGGAAAUAAUGUAUUUAGAUAGUAGAAAAAGGGCCUCCCAACCUCGAGAACGUCAAACAUAUUAUCCUUUCCAAUCACGGGAUUGAUGAACAUAUUUAUCUUCUUGGUGUGUCGUGGUCGAAAGACAAUUUCCAUCUAUUUAUGUUAAACUCUCCAACAAACUUCAAUUGAUUCUUCCUCAAGUCCGAACUUCACAAUGAUUUGAAGGUGACUUUUACUUGACCUUAAUUCUAAAGUAUUUCAACUCUUUAUUCAUCCUCAAAAGUAUUUUUUUCAGUUACUCAGUUCCAUUUGAAAUAAAUUUCUAAGAUCUGGCCGAAAUUUCUGCAUGCAUGUCAUGUCAUUACAGAUAGCGAAAAAAGAAAUAGGAACAGAAUGACACCAAAAGACGAACUCUAAUUUAUUGAGUAAAGGGUGAAAGGGUUUGAAAACAAGACAAACAGCCUAAAACCAGAGUUACAACCCUAAAAUAACACAGAUAAUAAAAAUAACAAUAGAACAAACAUACAAGACUCACACAAACAAAAUGGAGGGAUAGAAGGGUUUGAAUCAAUAAAAUAAAUAAAAUCUGGAUAACAACCCUGAAAUAACCUAGAUAGUUAAAAAAACAUCAAAACAAAUUCAUUCCUAGUAAGAAGAGAACGACUUUUCAAUUUUUAAGUUUGAAAUUUAGCCACAAAUUUGCUCAUCAGAAUCACCAUGGCCUUCUCCAAUUUCAAUCGGCAAUCUCCCAAGAGGAUUCUCAUACUCCAUGUCACCAGGAAUCAUCCCAACAAAAUGUGCAUCAUCAUGUGCAGGUAAAGGAUUCUGCAUGAUAUUCUGGAUGUCACUUUCUUGGAUCACAAUCAAUUUUUCCUGGAUUAUCCUUUCUAUUUCUCUUUUCAAAUCCCAAAAGCUUUCAACAUUGUGCUGGGCAUUGGAAUGGUAUUUGUACCUUUUAGAAGAGCCAAAGCUUCUUGCACGGGGGUCUACAUGAUUUGGACGAAUAGGUGCAAUCAUGUCAUAAUGCUUUAAUUUCUCAAACAAGCUUGCAUAGGACUCUCCUAUUGGAGUAAAGUUAUCUAUAAACAUCUAUUCCCCUUUAUACCUCUAGCUUGGAUGUGGGUUAUAGGGCACCUGAAAAUUUUUUGGAGGCUGAUUGAGAUAUUGUGAUGCUCGUGCUCACCUUCAGGGGUGUUUUGGUUGCUAGACAACAUACUGAGGUGGAGCGACAGAGUAUUGUGGAUUCUGAGGGAGAUAGUAAUGCUCAGGGGAGUCAUGGAAACCUGAGGAGGCUGCUCAUACCUUCAAGAUGUUCUCCUGGGACCUUUUCUCGAACCUGAUGUCAUCAUGAUUUCUUCAACCUUCUUAUUUGUGUCACUAGAAUUAUCAGAUUCAAUCUGGACAGCCUGAGUUGUGGCUUUGAGAACUGCUUGACUUAUAAUUCUGCCUGUCUUAAGACCAUUCUAAAACAUUUACCCCAUUUUGACUGCUUCCGAGAAGGAUUUACCCACUCCAGACAUCAUGUUUUGAAACUUAUCUGGCUCUUACGCCUGAAGGAAGACACUAAUUAGCUCGUGGUCAUCCAUGGGUGGCUUAUAUCUAGCUGCUUGCUCUCUCCAUUUAGUGGCAUAUUCCCUGAACAUUUCACUUGGUUUCUUCUUCAGGUUUGAAAAGGAAUUGUGGUAUGGGGCAAUGUCAAUAUUGUAUUAGAGCUGUUUGACAAAGGUAUGAGCCAUGUCAUCCCAGACAUGCCAGUGAGAGGUAUUUUGAUCCAUAAACCAUUUGAAGGCUACUCCUGUAAGGCUUUCCCCAAAUUAAGCUAUUACCAAUUCUUCAUUUCUUCCUACACCUCUUAGUUGAUUGCAAUACCUUUUCAGGUGGGCUAUUGGGUCUCCAUGUCCAUCAUACUUUUCAAAUUUGGGGAUCUUGAAACCUAGUGGCAAACGAACAUUGGGAACAUACAUAGAUCGUUGAAGGCAAUACUCUUCUGACCUGCCAACCAUUGCAUGUUUUUUAACUAUUGUUCUAAGAUUUUCAGCCUUUGGGUUAUUUCUUCAUGUGUCAUCUUUUGUGCACGCUUCUCAAUGUUUGCAAGAAGAUCAAAAAAGUACCAGUGGUACUUCGGAGAGUGGUACUGCUCUUACUGGGUAGCAAAUUGUGACUCAUGACAAGGUUGCCCUUGGCCAAUGGCCCAUGCUUGGCACAUUUUGGUCAUUUGCUAUUUCAGUAUUCUAUUUUCCUUAAUUACGGUAGACUCUUGCUGAAUCCUCUGACCAUGAGUCUCUUGAACACUUGUAACAGCUUCGAUGUCCGUUGUCAUAUUUCCCUUUGGAUUUCGUGUUGUCAGCUUACUACAAACCGACCACCUCAAACUUUCUUCACAAUUCAAAACAAAAGCAUGCUAGAAUGGACUCAGACUAUCCUAUUAUUAUUAUCAUAAUUUUAUAUUAUUUUUUUAUCUUCUUUUUUAAUGGUGAUCGAACGUGAUGUGGGUUGCCUAUGUAUCAUGUGGGAACAUGAAUCAAUUCUAGUGUAAUUUGGAAAGAUUAGGAAUACAGAAAAUAAACUAACUCAUUUUUUGUUCUUUUUGGAUUUUGGUUAUUUUUCCGAUAGAAAGACUUAUAAAGAACGAAGAUUUUUUUUAUUUUGAUUUGUUCUUUUAAAGAAUUUUUGAAAGAAAUAUUUUUGUAGAAGAAAUAAAAUAUUUUUUUCUUUGAAUUUCGACUUUGUUUUGAAAUUUCGGAAGAAAAACUUCUAAAGAAGAUAGAAAAUAUUUUUUUUUGGAUUUUUGGACUUUUAUGUUGAAUUUAUGAAAGAAAUACUUCUAAAAAAAAAAAUAUUUUUGAAUCAUAACUUUUCUUUUUAAUUUUCGAAAGAAUGCAAAUAUUUUUGGAUUCUGAGAAGAAUUAAAAGAAAACAUUUUUGUAUUUUUAGAAGUUGGGGCCUAAAAGAAAGACAUUCUAAAUAGGGAAGCAAAGGAAUUAUUUUUUUUUGGACCCGCGUAAUUCGUCAGUUUUGAAGCAAAAAAGGAACAUCGCACUCGAAUAUUUUGGGCUCAUUUUGAAAUGAAUUUUCUUCUUUUUUCCAGAAUUUUGACUGAGUUUCAGAAUUUUCUAAAUACCUACCUCUAACUUUUUUCUUAUUUUCUUUUUUUGAUCUUCUUUUCUUAUUCUAGAAGCCGGUCAACAUCCGAAUAGAAACAAACAGAUCUGCAAGUAGCACGUAAGAUGUAUCAGGAUGGUCUUUUUAAUUUGGGCACACCUGUCCUAGACGGACCCAACCCCUAUGUUGAGUCACCAAAAUCAAAUGCACGUGAUACAAACAAUCGUUCCUACCACGGAUCUGGCAUGAGGCUGAGUUAUUGUAGGUGUAAAACCUGAUUGUAUUUGUUGUAGACCUAGCUUACAUUAGUGGACAGCUCGAGUUGAGUGGGGCAGUGUACUGGGAAUACAGAAGCUUCACCGACUUUGCAACUUGUCCGAACCACGUUCUAAAAUUGGGAUAUGACUCUACCAGAAGAGAAGUCACACGAAGUGUACAUUUCUCAAAUGAUUUAGAAGACUCAUAGAGAGGAGGGUUUUGUAACAGUUUAUAUAUAGUUCAAACAAUAUAAAAGCGGUAAAAAGUGACAUUUAGCACAUUAUGCUCAAACACGUAAAAGUCGGAUAAUAAAUAAAGCCAACUAUAACAAAUAUUCUAAGCUCGAAUUUUGAAUCCUGAACCAGAGAUUCUGGGUUCUUUUUCCGAGCAGAGUGGCCCGAGCUGUCACACCCCUUUUUUACACACCCGAGAGGGGGUAUAAGGGAGUUUUUUUCAAUUUAUGUUACAAUCAAAACAAGAUUUAUUUAUUUAUUCAGAGUCGCCACUUGGGAUAAUUUAUGGUGUCCUAAGUCACCAGUUUAGAGUCCCGAAAUUGAGGAAACUUUGACUCAAAUUAUGGCAUGUGAACACAAAAAUUUGGGUAAGGAAUUCUGGUAACCGGGGAGAAGGUUUUUGGCAUUCCUGAGUUUCGUAGUUUUAGCACAAUCGCUUAAGUGUUAAUAUGGUCCUAAUUAUCUGAUUAAUCACAUGUUUUAUACCUAUUGUGCAUUCGUAACCUUCUAACAUCUUUAAAUGUUUUUAGGAAAAUUCAUGAUUGUUUUUGAAAACACACCAUAGACCAUGCUACAUGAAGUGCACCCGAAGUUCACGACACGUUUAUUUUAUUUACCAUUAUUGGAAAUUGAAGUCAGGUUACAUAAAAUAUAUGCCCGUAUUUAUAACAUAUUUAUCUUAUUAUUAUUAUCAUUCAAAAUUAUAGUAGGUUCACAUGAAAUGCACAACCAAACCUAUUUAAUCAAAUUUGACGUAGUUCAGUAAAAGAAUAGCAACCCAAUUUCUAUACUGUGAAAAAAAUCAUGUUAAGCUAUAACCAAUUGAAAUAGCAUGCGAGUAGAUAGCUACAUGACCAAACUCAAAAACGGAGACAAUAACCAAACAAAUCACAUAACCAAAUAACCAAACAUGCGAUUAACAUUUAGCUAGAAUAAAAUAAGUAGAGGAUAGAAGAGUUGAAUCUCAAUGAGAACAAGGACCUUUUCAACACGAAUUAGAUAUUAUUUGAACGUAACCCUUGAACUCGAAGCAGAACUUCCACGAACCGACAAACCCAAACAUACUCCGAUUCAGAAUUCCAACAUAAACUUAACGGCAUAACUCGAACCAACAACUUUAAUUUUGUAAAAACUCGAGCAGAGACAUAAAUAAUCAAAUAUGAAGAUGAAAUUUCAGUCAGCUGAUAUGCGAAAAAAAUGAAACACAAUUGUUGAAGCACGAGAAACAAAACGCGCAAUUCAGUAACAAACAAACGACGAAAAUAUGAGCUUCAAAGUAGUUGGUCCAAAUUAACUUGAAAAACACAGAUCCCCUGAAAGAAUUCUUUUAAUGCAAUAGUGGAAAGAAAUCAGAAACACAACCCUUGAUUCUGUAAUCCAGCGAGAUAGAACAACAAAGACAAAGAACAAAAUUUUCGACCGGAACUAAAUCCUGGAACCUCGAAUUUUGCUCUUCUCGUUUUCCACUCGUCCUCAUUUCUGGACGUGUCAGUGAUUGUAGUUGUCUCGUUUGGUGACAGAGAGGUCGAUAUUGACCUUGGUUCUUUUGGAGCGGAGUUCCCAUUUUAGGCAUGUUUUCUGUUGUGAAGAAGAUCCAGUUCAGAGGGUCUCUCCAUUUGAAGAACGUCUAACAGCUGAUGCUUCAUAUUUUUCUUUACUGUGUAUUGAUCCCCCUUUUUGUGAAGAAUAAGGGUCUUUCCUAUGUUGCGGCUGAUCUCUUAGGGGUCUAGGUUUAGGCUUUUAUUUUGAUAUGUCAAUAACGGCUGAUGCGGUUUUUAGGGAUCUAGGGUAGUGUAG